rnacentral:lncRNA from 1 species
AGGAUUUGGUUCAUCCCACGCGCACACGUCACGGGCAUCCGGCUUUUCUAUGUUCUAUAGAUUUGGAUGUAAUUAUUGAGGGUGAAGAUAUUAUGCACAAUGUGACUAUUCCACCAAAAAGUUUUCUUUUAGUUCAAAAUGAUCAAUAUGUCGAAUCAGAACAAGUGAUUGCUGAGAUUCGGCGGGAGCAUACACUUUGAAUUUUAAAGAGAGGGUUCGAAAACAUAUUUAUUCUGAUUCAGAGGGAGAAAUGCACUGGAGUACUGAUGUGUACCAUGCACCCGAAUUUACAUAUAGUAAUGUCCACCUCUUGCCAAAAACAAGCCAUUUAUGGAUAUUGUCGGGGGUUCACGCAGAUCUAGUGUAGUUUCUUUUUCACUCCACAAGGAUCAAGAUCAAAUGAAUAUUCAUUCUCUUUCUGUCGAACGAAGAGAGAUUUCUAGCCUCUCGCUCUCAGUGAAUAAUGAUCAAACGGGACACAAAUUUUUUAGUUCUGAUUUUUCUGCUAAAAAAAAAGGUCGAAUUCUUGAAGAUGUCUGAUUAUUCGGGAUUUAAUAGAAUCAUAAGUACUGGUCAUUGUAAUCUCAUCCAUCCUGCAAUUCUCCACGCAAAUUCGGAUUAUUGGCAAAAAGGCAAAGAAAUGGAUUUCUUAUUCCAUUCCACUCGAUUCAAGAGCAAGAGAAAGAGCUAAUGCCCCAUUCAGGUAUCUCGAUUGAAAUACCCGUAAGGGGUAUUUUCCGUAGAAAUAGUAUUCUUGCUUAUUUCGACGAUCCUCGAUACAGAAGAAAGAGUUCCGGAAUUACUAAAUGGGGGACUCUGGGGGCGCAUUCAAUCGUUAAAAAGAGGACUUGAUUGAGUAUCGAGGACUCAAAAAAUUAGCCAAAAUACCAAAUGAAAAUAGAUCGCCUUUUUUUCAUUCCGGAGGAAGUGCAUAUUUUUCCGAAUCUUCUUACCUAAUGGUACGGAAUAAUAGUAUCAUUGGAGUAGACACACAAAUCACUUUAAAUAUACGAAGCCGGGUGGGCGGAUUGUCCGAAUGGAGAGAAAAAGGGGAGGGUUGAACUAAAAAUAUUUUCGGGAGAUAUCCAUUUCCCGGAGAGAUAGAUAAGAUAUCCCGACACAGUGGCAUCCUGAUACCGCCAGAAAGUGAAAAAACAAAACUUAAGGAAGCCACUAAGGAAUCAAAAAAUUGAAAAAAGUGGAUCUAUGUUCAACGGAUCACACCUACAAAGAAAAAGUCUUUUGUUUUGGUUUCGACCCGUAGUCACAUAUGAAAUAGCGAACGGUAUAAAUUUAGCAACACUCUUUCCCCAGGAUCCGCUGCGGGAAAAGGAUAAUAUGCAAUUUCGAGUUGUCAAUUAUGUCCUUUAUGGGAAGGGCAAAGCCGCUGGGGGAAUUUCUGAUACAAGUCUUCAAUUAGUUCGGACGUGUUUAGUGUUGAAUUGGGACCAAGACAACAAAAGUUCUUCCGUCGAAGAGGUUUGUGCUUCCUUUGUUGAAGUACGUACAAAUGGUCUGAUUCGAAAUUUCCUAAGAAUCAACUUAGUGAAAUCCAAUAUUUCGUAUCUCAGAAAAAGGGAUCAUCCGUCGGGUUCAGGAUUAAUUUCUGAUAAUGGUUCAGCUCGCCACCAAUAGCAAUCCGUUUUAUUCCGUGUUUGGCAAGGCAGGGGUUGAACAAUCGCCUUAGACAAAAUCAAGGAAACUAUUCGUACGUUGUUGAAUAAAAAUAAGGAAUGCCAAGUUUUGAUAAUUUUAUCAUCAUCUAAUUAUUUUCGAAUGGGUCCAUUGAACGAUGUAAAAUAUCACAAUGUGAUAAAACAAUCAAUUCCAAUUCAAAAAGAUUCGCUAACUCCAAUUAAGACUUCGUUGGGACCCUUAGGAACAUUCCUUCAAAUUGCGAAUUUUUAUUCAUUUUACUAUUUAAUAACUCAUAAUCAUAUCUCGGUAACUAAAUAUUUGAAACUUGACAAUUUAAAACAGCCUUUUCAAGUACUUAAAUAUUAUUUAAUGGACGAAACCGGGGAAAUUUAUAAUCCUGAUACAGAUAGUAAGAUCCUUUUGAAUCCAUUUAAUUUGAAUUGGUAUUUUCUCCAGCCUAAUUAUUGUGAGGAAAUGUCCCGAUAAUUAGUCUUGGGCAGUUUCUUUGUGAAAAUGUACGUAUAACCAAAAGGGACCAUACCUAAAAUCCGGUCAAGUUUUAAUUGUUCAAGUUAACUCUGUAGUAAUACGAUCAGCUAAGCCUUAUUUGGCUACUCCUGGAGCAACUGUUCAUGGGCAUUAUGGAGCAAUCCUUUACGAAGGGGAUACAUUAGUUACAUUUAUAUAUGAAAAAUCGAGAUCUGGUGAUAUAACGCAGGGUCUUCCAAAAGUAGAACAGGUGUUAGAAGUGCGUUCGCUUGAUUCAAUAUCGAUGAACCUAGAAAAGAGAGUUGAGGGUUGGAACGCCGAGUAUAACAAGAAUUCUUGGGAUUCCCUGGGAUUCUUGAUUGGUGCUGAGCUAACUAUAGUGCAAAGUCGUAUCUCUUUGGUUAAUAAGAUCCAAAAGGUUUAUCGAUCGCAGGGGUGCAGAUCCAUAAUAGGCAUAUAGAAAUUAUUGUACGUCAAAUAACAUCAAAAGUUUUAGUUUCCGAAGAUGGAAUGUCUAAUAUUUUUUUACCCGGCGAACUGAUUGGAUUGUUACGAGCGGAACGAAUGGGGCGCGCUUUGGAAGAAGUGAUCUGUUAUCGAGCUAUCUUAUUGGAAUAACGAGAGCGUCUCUGAAUACUCAAAGUUUUAUAUCCGAAGCAAGUUUUCAAGAAACCACGCGAGUUUUAGCAAAAGCUGCUCUCCGAGGUCGUAUCGAUUGGUUGAAAGGCCUGAAAGAAAACGUUGUUCUGGGGGGAUAAUACAGUCGGUACCGGAUUCAAAGGAUUAGUCCACUGUUCAAGGCAGCAUAACAACAUUCUUUUGGAAAGACAAAAAGGGAAUUUAUUCGGGGGGAAAUGAGAGAUAUUUUCUUACACCACAGAGAAUUAUUUGACUCGUGCAUUUCAACGACUUUCCAUGAUACAUCAGAGCACAAUUGCUUAGAGGGUUUAAUGGAGUCCUAGGAGCGAAUUCUUUUAACUAUUUGUGAUCAUUUGAUUUUUUAAUGGUACGAAAAGAAAGAUAAUAAUGAAAUAGAACGAAGGAUAAUAAUGAAUAGAAAGUAAUGAAUGGCCUGGGUCGUGUAUCAAUGGUCACUCUCUGGUAGAAGAGAAGGUUCCCUCGGAACAAUUAUUUAUUUCAGGGCGCCUCGUCUCUUAAAAAAAAAGAGGAAGUGGGGGAGAAAUGGCAAGAAGUAUUGGAACAUCCAUUUGGAAGAGAUGAUGGAAGCAGGAAUUCAUUUUGGUCAUGGUACUCGGAAAUGGAAUCCUAGAAUGGCACCUUAUAUAUCUGCAAAACAUAAAGGUAUUCAUAUUACAAAUCUGACUCGAACUGCUCGGUUUUUAUCAGAAGCUUGUGAUUUAGUUUUGAUGCAGCAAGUAGGGGAAAACAAUUCUUAAUUGUUGUACUAAAAAUAAAGCAGCUGAUUUAGUCGCGCGAGCUGCAAUAAGGGCUCGUGCCAUUAUGUUAAUCAAAAACUAAAUCACAAGCUUCUGAUAAAAACCGAGCAGUUCGAGUCAGAUUUGUAAUAUGAAUACCUUUAUGUUUUGCAGAUAUAUAAGGUGCCAUUCUAGGAUUCCAUUUCCGAGUACCAUGACCAAAAUGAAUUCCUGCUUCCAUCAUCUCUUCCAAAUGGAUGUUCCAAUACCUUCUUGCCAUUUCUCCCCACUUCCUCUUUUUUUUUUAAGAGACGAGGCGCCCUGAAAUAAAUAAUUGUUCCGAGGGAACCUUCUCUUCUACCAGAGAGUGACCAUUGAUACACGACCCAGGCCAUUCAUUACUUUCUAUUCAUUAUUAUCCUUCGUUCUAUUCAUUAUUAUCUUUCUUUUCGUACCAUUAAAAAAUCAAAUGAUCACAAAUAGUUAAAAGAAUUCGCUCCUAGGACUCAUUAAACCCUCUAAGCAAUUGUGCUCUGAUGUAUCAUGGAAAGUCGUUGAAAUGCACGAGUCAAAUAAUUCUCUGUGGUGUAAGAAAAUAUCUCUCAUUUCCCCCCGAAUAAAUUCCCUUUUUGUCUUUCCAAAAGAAUGUUGUUAUGCUGCCUUGAACAGUGGACUAAUCCUUUGAAUCCGGUACCGACUGGUAUUAUCCCCCCCAGAACAACGUUUUCUUUCAGGCCUUUCAACCAAUCGAUACGACCUCGGAGAGCAGCUUUUGCUAAAACUCGCGUGGUUUCUUGAAAACUUGCUUCGGAUAUAAAACUUUGAGUAUUCAGAGACGCUCUCGUUAUUCCCAAUAAGAUAGCUCGAUAACAGAUCACUUCUUCCAAAGCGCGCCCCAUUCGUUCCGCUCGUAACAAUCCAAUCAGUUCGCCGGGGUAAAAAAAUAUUAGACAUUCCAUCUUCGGAAACUAAAACUUUUGAUGUUAUUUGACGUACAAUAAUUUCUAUAUGCCUAUUAUGGAUCUGCACCCCCUGCGAUCGAUAAACCUUUUGGAUCUUAUUAACCAAAGAGAUACGACUUUGCACUAUAGUUAGCUCAGCACCAAUCAAGAAUCCCCAGGGAAUCCCAAGAAUUCUUGUUAUACUCGCGUUCCAACCCUCAACUCUCUUUUCUAGGUUCAUCGAUAUUGAAUCAAGCGAACGCACUUCUAACACCUGUUCUACUUUUGGAAGACCCUGCGUUAUAUCACCAGAUCUCGAUUUUUCAUAUAUAAAUGUAACUAAUGUAUCCCCUUCGUAAAGGAUUGCUCCAUAAUGCCCAUGAACAGUUUGCUCCAGGAGUAGCCAAAUAAGGCUUAGCUGAUCGUAUUACUACAGAGUUAACUUGAACAAUUAAAACUUGACCGGAUUUUAGGUAUGGUCCCCUUUUGGUUAUACGUACAUUUUCACAAAGAAACUGCCCAAGACUAAUUAUCGGGGACAUUUCCUCACAAUAAUUAGGCUGGAGAAAAAUACCAAUUCAAAUUAAAUGGAUUCAAAAGGAUCUUACUAUCUGUAUCAGGAUUAUAAAUUUCCCCGGUUUCGUCCAUUAAAUAAUAUUUAAGUACUUUGAAAAGGCUGUUUUAAAUUGUCAAGUUUCAAAUAUUUAGUUACCGAGAUAUGAUUAUGAGUUAUUAAAUAGUAAAAUGAAUAAAAAUUCGCAAUUUGAAGGAAUGUUCCUAAGGGUCCCAACGAAGUCUUAAUUGGAGUUAGCGAAUCUUUUUGAAUUGGAAUUGAUUGUUUUAUCACAUUGUGAUAUUUUACAUCGUUCAAUGGACCCAUUCGAAAAUAAUUAGAUGAUGAUAAAAUUAUCAAAACUUGGCAUUCCUUAUUUUUAUUCAACAACGUACGAAUAGUUCCUUGAUUUUGUCUAAGCGAUUGUUCAACCCCUGCCUUGCCAAACACGGAAUAAAACGGAUUGCUAUUGGUGCGAGCUGAACCAUUAUCAGAAAUUAAUCCUGAACCCGACGGAUGAUCCCUUUUUCUGAGAUACGAAAUAUUGGAUUUCACUAAGUUGAUUCUUAGGAAAUUUCGAAUCAGACCAUUUGUACGUACUUCAACAAAGGAAGCACAAACCUCUUCGACGGAAGAACUUUUGUUGUCUUGGUCCCAAUUCAACACUAAACACGUCCGAACUAAUUGAAGACUUGUAUCAGAAAUUCCCCCAGCGGCUUUGCCCUUCCCAUAAAGGACAUAAUUGACAACUCGAAAUUGCAUAUUAUCCUUUUCCCGCAGCGGAUCCUGGGGAAAGAGUGUUGCUAAAUUUAUACCGUUCGCUAUUUCAUAUGUGACUACGGGUCGAACCAAAACAAAAGACUUUUUCUUUGUAGGUGUGAUCCGUUGAACAUAGAUCCACUUUUUCAAUUUUUUUGAUUCCUUAGUGGCUUCCUUAAGUUUUGUUUUUUCACUUUCUGGCGGUAUCAGGAUGCCACUGUGUCGGGAUAUCUUAUCUAUCUCUCCGGGAAAAUGGAUAUCUCCCGAAAAUAUUUUUAGUUCAACCCCUCCCCUUUUUCUCUCCAUUCGGACCAAUCCGCCCACCCGGCUUCGUAUAUUUAAAGUGAUUUGUGUGUCUACUCCAAUGAUACUAUUAUUCCGUACCAUUAGGUAAGAAGAUUCGGGAAAAAUAUGCACUUCCUCCGGAAUGAAAAAAAGGCGAUCUAUUUUCAUUUGGUAUUUUGGCUUAAUUUUUUUGAGUCCUCGAUACUCAAUCAAGUCCUCUUUUUUAACGAUUGAAUGCGCCCCAGAGUCCCCCAUUUAGUAAUUCCGGAACUCUUUCUUCUGUAUCGAGGAUCGUCGAAAUAAGCAAGAAUACUAUUUCUACGGAAAAUACCCCUUACGGGUAUUUCAAUCGAGAUACCUGAAUGGGGCAUUAGCUCUUUCUCUUGCUCUUGAAUCGAGUGGAAUGGAAUAAGAAAUCCAUUUCUUUGCCUUUUUGCCAAUAAAUCCGAAUUUGCGUGGAGAAUUGCAGGAUGGAUGAGAUUACAAUGACCAGUACUUAUGAUUCUAUUAAAUCCCGAAUAAUCAGACAUCUCAAGAAUUCGACCUUUUUUUUUAGCAGAAAAAUCAGAACUAAAAAAUUUGUGUCCCGUUUGAUCAUUAUUCACUGAGAGCGAGAGGCUAGAAAUCUCUCUUCGUUCGACAGAAAGAGAAUGAAUAUUCAUUUGAUCUUGAUCCUUGUGGAGUGAAAAAGAAACUACACUAGAUCUGCGUGAACCCCCCGACAAUAUCCAUAAAUGGCUUGUUUUUGGCAAGAGGUGGACAUUACUAUAUGUAAAUUCGGGUGCAUGUACACAUCAGUACUCCAGUGCAUUUCUCCCUCUGAAUCAGAAUAAAUAUGUUUUCGAACCCUCUCUUUAAAAUUCAAAGUGUAUGCUCCCGCCCGAAUCUCAGCAAUCACUUGUUCUGAUUCGACAUAUUGAUCAUUUUGAACUAAAAGAAAACUUUUUGGUGGAAUAGUCACAUUGGCAUAAUAUCUUCACCCUCAAUAAUUACAUCCAAAUCUAUAGAACAUAGAAAAGCCGGAUGCCCGUGACGUGUGCGCGUGGGAUGAACCAAAUCCUCAUUGAAUUUGAUUUUACCAUUAGAAGGGGCUCGUACAUGUUCUGCAGUGCCCCCGUAAAUACGCCGCCGGUAUGAAAAGUUCUUAAUGUUAGUUGAGUCCCUGGUUCUCCAAUAGAUUGACCCGCAAUAAUACCUACGGCUUCCCCCAAUUCAACCAGGUCACCAUGAGUCGGACUCCGACCAUAACAUAAUCGACAGAUCCACGAUGUACUCCUACAAGUAAAGGGGUUCGAAUAGAUAUUGCUUGUGUUCGAAGGGUUAUGAGUCGAUUGACAAGUCCAAUCCCAAUAUCUUGAUUUCUAAUGGCAAUGGAUCGCUGGCCCAUAUAUAUAUCGUCCGCUAAUACACGACCAAUUAAUGUUUGGCUAAAAACCCUUUCCGACAUCAUCCUAUUUUGAUUUUGAGGACUCACAGAAAUUCCUCGGACAGUGCCACAAUCUGUUCUACGUACAAUAAUGUGUUGAACUACUUCAACAAGUCUGCGCGUAAGAUAUCCAGCAUCUGAUGUUCGGACAGCGGUAUCGACAACCCCCUUGCGGGCUCCAUAGCAAGAAAUGAUAUAUUCUGUUAAAGAAAGCCCUUCGCGUAAAUUACUUUGAAUGGGUAAAUCAAUCAUUUGCCCUUGGGGAUCAGACAUUAAUCCUCUCAUACCCACCAAUUGGUGUACUUGAGAUGCAUUUCCUCUAGCCCCGAAAAAGACAUUAUAUGGACUGGAUUAAAAGGCUCAGUCAUCCUAAAAUUAGGAUUCAUUUCUUGUCGCAAAUAUUCACUUGUAGCAUACCAUAUCUCAAUGGAUUGUCGUAGUUUUUCUAUCGCGUGUACAUUCCCAUAAUGAUAGUGUUUUUCCAAAAUAAAACUUUGUUGUUCAGCAUCUUGGACUAGCCAUCGCUUAGAAGGUAUCGUUAAAAGAUCAUCAAUGCCUAAUGAAAUAGAUGUAGCAGUGGCUUGCUGGAACCCCAGGGUCUUUACUUGAUCCAGGAUGUGGGAUGUAUAUGCCAUUCCGAAGUGAUCUAUUAACCUGCUAAUAAGUCGUUUAAUGGCAGUUCCAUCUAUCAUUUUAUUGUGAAAGACCAGACUCACCCGUUUCUGCCAUAAGUACCUCCGUAUUCCGCUGAGUAGGAUUCGCCAAUGGAUUUUAGUCAAUGAGUGGAAAACUUCCUUUUCUCGAUCUUGAUUCGCGUAGAAAGGUCAGCAAUGGUGGUCAUACUUGAACCGGAAAGGCCCAAGGAGUCGUAGAAUUACUUAGUUUAGACACCAGAUGAUUAGGUACCAUAUGAGCAGGCCCGGCAAAACCCUUGUAUAGCUUCUUCGAUUUCUCGAUAAAGAGAAAUAUGGCCCACGGUGGUUCGAAUGUAUAUAGAAAGAAUUUCUUUUUUUACACUUCGUACUAUUAGAUAAUGCCCAUAAAUCUCAUGAGAGGUACCCAAAGAUUCAUAGUGAACUUCGAUGGGAGCUUCCCUUGAAGCAAUAAGGCCGUUGAAUCUAAUCGCCACCGAAGCCACAACGGACUAUCUAAAUUGAUUCUUUUCUGCCGAUAAGCUCCAAUUGCAUCAUAGGAAUUACAAAAAAGGGGUUCUUUCGUAUACGUAUAGCUAUUAUCGUCAUUCUUUCAUCUGGAUAAUUUCUUCGAUUCCAUGUAUUAUACCUAUUUGCACAAAUACCUCGACGAUUCCCGCUCGUUAAUACAUAGAGCCCAAUAAGCAUAUCUUGAGUCGGUAUGGAAAUGGGAUCUCCAAUAGUAGGAGACAAGAGAUUCAUAUGAGAAAACAUAAGUAACCGAGCCUCUGCUUGAGCCUCUAAAGAUAAGGGUACAUGAACAGCCAUUUGAUCCCCAUCAAAGUCUGCGUUGAAUCCCUUACAAACUAAUGGAUGUAAACAAAUAGCGCGCCCUUCCACUAAAAUGGGCUGGAAUGCCUGUACGCCCAAUCUAUGCAGAGUAGGCGCUCUAUUCAGCAAUACUGGAUGUCCCUGCAUAACUUCUGCAGUAUUUUCCCAGAUAAUCGGCCCUUUUUCCCGAAUUUUACUCUUAGCAACUCCUAUGUUCGAAGCAAGGUGUUGUCUAAUUAGCCACAAAUUACAAAAGUCUGGAAAAGCUCUAUUGCGAUUUCGCGAGGCAAUCCACAUUGAUGUAAUGAAAGUGAGGGGCCCACAACAAUGACAGACCGCCCGAAUAAUCGACCCGUUUGCCAAGCAGAGUCUCACGAAAUCUUCCCUCUUUUCCUUCAAUUACAUCUGAAAACGACUUAUAAUCUUAUUAUGACCCAUCCCUCAUUGGCUGUCACGGAUUCCAUUAUCAAGAAGCGUAUCCACGGCUUCUUGUACCAAUUUUCCUGACACAUUACCAAUUCCCCUGGCGUAGAUCUACUUGUUGUUAUAGGUCGAUAAGAGUAUUGUUCCGAUAGAUAACUCUUCUAUAGAGUUCAUUUAAUAUCUGAACUCAUUAGUUUACCUCCAUCUAUUUGAAUGAUAGGCCUCAACUCGGGAGGAAGAACAGGUAAUAGACAUAAAACCAUCCACUCUGGUUCUAUAUUUGUUCGAGAAAAUGCUUAGCUAAUUCCAUGCGUCUAACCAAAAAAUCCCUUCUUCGUCCAAUUUUUCGAUCUUCCCAGUCAUUACCGGCGGGCCCUUCUUCCCCUAAUUCUUUCCAUUCUAACAAGGAAUUAUCUAGAAUAAUUCGCAAAUCUAGAUCGGCUAAUUGUUCCCGGAUAGCAACUGCUCCAGUAGAAAUUUCUCGGUUACGAAAUUUAUCGAAACCUUGGGUAGUAAAAAAAAGUGGGAUGCUGUAUUUCCAGGAUUGUAUUUCAUAUUCGAAUGAACCGCGUAAUCGUAAAAAAGUCGGUUUUUUCGCUAUAGGCCUAGCAAAAGAAAAAUUGGGAUAGGACCCUAUCCUAUGGAUCUCCCCCCAUCAAAAUCGGACAUGAGCGUUUCUUCUCAUCCGGCUCAAGUAGUUACGCCAAAUAAGGAUAAAGAAAGGAUUCUCGCUUUCAAAUUCUAUAAAAAACCCCAUACCCAAAACAACUACUCCUUACUCAAGUUCCCAGUAAAGACCAAGCAACAUUUCAUUGAUUCAUUCUUCUUUUCCUUUUAUUGAGAUUUUCGAAAUUCUUUAUUCAAUUAUAAAUUACGAAACUGAAAUGUGAAAUUCUUGAGUAGUCUACUUCCCCCCGAAUGACAAAUCCCUUACCUUAAAUUAAAUAAAUUAAAGGAAAGAAGUGCCUUGGAAUUCAUAAGGGAUUUUUUGUCUAUGUAUCGUUCCUUUCGAUCUUUUAGGUCCUGCUUCACCUCGACGGUUAUGCCACGAUAUACUUAAAGCCUAUAUGCGAUGUAUAGACUCCCCCAACCAUGACAUAUUUGCUUACUUGAGGAACAGAAUUUCAUUUUUUUUUUUCACGAGGUACAACUAGAAAUUCUUAUUUAUUUUUUACUGAAUCGACCAUAGACCAAUUCCCCUUUUUCGUUUUUGGGGGAGUAUUGAAUACACCCAUCGUCUGAGCUUCAUGUGACUCCUCCAAAGAGACAUGUCAGGUUCAGGGCAUCCCAAUUCGAUUGCCUGGGAUGACAGUUUCAUAUUUCGAAUCUGUAAAAUCAAAAUUUCGAUCAAAUCACACAUCGCAAUAUACUAGGCCUUCUAAUUCUUUAAGAGGUUUAUCUAAAAGAUUCCGAUAUAACUAGGAAGACGUUUCAAAUACCACACGUGGGUUACUGGCAUCCCAGUUUUAUGUAUCCCAUUUGAUAUCUUCGUAUCCGAGAAUCAACAAAUUCAACCCCACAUUGUUCACAAAAUUGCGGGUCUUCUUUUUCAUCUCCGAUUAUUCGAUAAUUUCCACAAGCACAAAUUCCACUUUUAAUAGGCCCAAAAAUUCUUUCACAAAAUAAUCCAUCUUUUUCCGGUUUAUUGGUUUUGUAAUGAAAAGUAUAGGGUUUUGUCACUUCUCCAAUUAUCUCUCCAUUAGUAGGAUUUUAUUGGCCCAAGCGCGUAUUUGUUGAGGAGAAACUGAUCCAAUUCGGAGUUGUUGAUGUUUAUAUCGAUCAAUCAUAGAAGAAAAUUUUUGAUUCAUUCCGAUUAAGCUUCCUUCUUAUUAAUCUGGAAGUUUUUCUCAGAUACAACAAAAUGAUUCAGUUCCAAAGCCAAAGAUCGUAGUUCUCGAACGAGCAAUCGAAAAGAUUCUGGAGCAUCUUCCGGGUUAGGUAUUGUUUCUCCAAUGAUUGUAGUACCAAGUACUUCUUGGCGCUCUAAUAUGAUCAGAUUUAUAAGUAAGCAUCUCUUGUAAAAUAUGAGCAACACCAAAGCCCUCUAGAGCCCAAACCUCCAUUUCUCCUACCCGUUGUCCCCUUGUUUGGACCUUCCUCUAAGGGGUUGUUGGGUAACAAGUGCAUAAUGCCCACUGGAACGUCCGUGUACUUUAUCAUCAACUUGAUGAAUUAAUUUCAAGAUAUAAGGCUUCCUAUUAGAACAGGUUCUUCAAAGGAUCUCCCGUUCGUCCAUCAAAUAUUCUGCUUUUUCCGGGUAUUCCGGCUCAAAUACCCAUGGAUUCGCGGUUUGCUUACUGGCUUCAUAUAAUUCAGAAAACACGAGUUUUCUCGAAGCCUCUUGUUCAUAUCUCUCAUCAAAAGGUGCUAUUCGAUAAUGUCGAUUUAGCAGACCCCCCGCUAACCCGAGCGAGCAUUCAAAUAUCUGUCCUACAUUCAUUCGCGAGGUACUCCUAGUGGGUUGAAAACCAUAUCACAGGCCUUCCAUCUUGCAAAUAAGGCAUAUCCUGUCUAGGCAAAAUUUUGAAACGAUACCCUUAUUUCCAUGUCUUCCAGCUACUUUAUCACCUACUUUGAUUUCACGUUUGUGAAAUAUAUACACAAAUCGUUUCUGGAUUAUAACUAGAACCCCCCCUUUUUCUGGACCCAUCUCACAUCAAUAACGCGACCCCCCACCUAUAGGUAGUUUUAGGCAAGUUUCCUUUUGAAGUGGAUACCUGAAUGCAAGUAUGGCCCGUAAUAAUCUAUCUUCCGGAGCAUACGAUGAUUCUUUCGCCGCCUGAGGCGUUAAUUUACCUACUAAAAUAUCGCGUCUCUACCAAGAUCCCAGCAUCACAAUUCCAUUUUUGUCUAAAUUGCGGAGUAACCGGCUUCUAGAUGUGGUAUUUCAUUAGUGAUCCUUUCGGGACCUUGACUUGUCACAUGAGUCUGAAUUUCGUAUUUCCGUAUGUGAAAAGAAGUAUAAAUAUCUCUAUAUAUCAGACGUUCGCUAAUAAGUACGCAUCCUCAAAAUUGUAGCCUUCCCAUGGCAUAUAAGCUACUAAUAUGUUUUUCCCUAAAGCGAGUUCGCCGCCAACUGUAGCGCACCAUCCGCUAAAACUUGGCCCUUUUUAAUGCAUUUCCCCGCCCAACUGGGUUUUUGAUGCAUACAAGUAUUUUGUUUGAACGUUGAUACAUAAUUAAUGGAUACUAUAUGUAUUACCGUUUCCCGAUAAAACAAUCUUGUCAAUAUCGGUAUAAAUGAUCUUUCCCUCGUGUUCGGCUAUAGCGGGAACCCCUGAUCUAGAAGCCACUUGAGGUUCCAACCCAGUUCCAACAAUGCACUUCUCGACGAACGAGCGGAACUGCUUGCGUUGCAUAUUAGAACUCAUUAAAGCCCGAUCGCAUCAUUAUGCUCGAUAAAAGGAAUGAGGGAAGCCCCAAUAGAAAAAUAUUGGAAGGGAAAAAUACUUCGAAGAUNNNNNUUAAUUAAUUAANNNNNGGUUCCGGCGAACGAAUAAUCAUUGAGUCCUCCUCUUUCCGGACAACACAUACAAAGAAACCCGCCAACAGUCAGUCCAGUGAUUAGUGAACCUAUGAGAGAUGCUUAGAAUUAGUUUCUUUCUCUUCUACUUCUAUCUCCCAUCUAUUUAUUUCUUUAGUUAUUCACUAGAGCAAUUAUGUCUGGAAGUCGAUCCAGGGCAAGUGUUCGGAUCUAUUAUGACAUAUCCAGGAGGCGCUCAACGGACCUUUUGAAUCUUUUUUAAUCUUAUAAAACCCUUUACGGGCUUAAAAUUUGUCAAACCCUUUUUUUGUACAACCUUAGUGUAUUCAUAUCUCAAUUAGAAGUCCCGAAAUGCAGCUGCUACUUUAAUGGCGUAUAUAGAACAUAUUACUUUAUUCCAAGCAGUCAUUAGUAAUUACUAGGAUAAGAGACAUUCCUGCGAGGGGUCUCUUUUAUUAAUUUGAAUAGAAUAGGAGAAAAAUACAUUUUCUACCGUAUCCCUGUAUCGUUUAUCCUUAUGAAUACCAGACGAAAUAGAACGAUCUUAGAAAGGAUAUAAUGAAAUUCCUUGAUUGUUUCUUACCAGAUAAAUGAUCCCUUUUAUAUUCCACUGAUAGGGCUAACAGACAAUUAAUUUUUAAUUAUACCAAACGAAAAUAGAUAUCGAAAUUCUAAAGAAAUAAAAUUCUAAAUAAAUAACAGAGAGUUUCUUAUUCGAAACGUCCGUGAUCUUCAACCAAUUCUGCGCUUGAAUAUAAUUACCAGGAGUAAGCGCAAUAGCUUGUUUCCAAUACUCGGCAGCUUGAUUGAACCAAGCCUCCGCAAUUUCAGAAUCUCCCUGUCGAACGGCCUGUUCCCCCCGGUCGGAAUAGGUUUCAAUUCCUUUCCUUAGAACCGUACUUGAGAGUUUCCCGCCUCAUACGGCUCGGCAAUCAAUUCUUUUGGUGUCCCGGGUUUUUGAAUCUAGUAUAUCGAAUUGAAUGAGAUUUCUCAUAGAUCGAUCUUUAUCUUUAUUCUUUUUUUUUGGGGGGUUAACCAAAAGAGAGUUUCAAACUUGACUUUUGAUUAAAUUAAUAAUCAGCUUUGCUUUCAUUUUAUCUUUUCUCCCACCGUCAGAAGAAUAACAUAGAAGCAUUUCCACUAUAGUUAGAAUUUCUGAAAGGUAUCUAUCUCGGUUUCAUAUAAAAAUUGAUAUAGAAUCUUUGAAAAAGCCCUUUCUUCCUAAGAAAGAAAAGGCUUACUGUCUUUGGGAUCUGAUGCUACACCGCUGCUCAAUACCUUAGGGGAUCGACUUUAUUACAUAAGUGGAUUCCUUACUUUUAUCUCAUAUCAUGACAUAAAUAAGCAGUUCUUAUUGGAUCGGCAUCGGCCCAAAACCUCGCGAAUUGAUCUUUACGGUGCUUCCUCUAUCAAUUAGAUCCUUUAUCCAUAGAAUAAACUAUCUAGGCAUAUCGAUUUCUUCAUAUUUCGACUUCUAUGAAGUUUCUUUCUUUGCUACAGCUGAUAAAAAUCGUUUUUGCACGAUGCAUAUGUAGAAAGCCUAUUUUUUUUUUUUCGAGUAUUUAUUAGUGUAUUUGCUCUUUACCCCCCUCCUUUUUUUUUUUCUUUUACUUUUUUCUUUCUAUAGUAGAGAUAGUCGCACGUAAUGACAGAUCACAGCCAUAUUAUUAAAAGCUUGUGGUAAGAACGGAUUUCGUUCUAGUGCCCGAAAAUAAUAUUCUAAAGCUUUUGUAUGUUCUCCGUUACUUGUGUGGAUAAGGCCUAUGUUAUAGAGUAUAUAGCUUCGAUCGUAAGGAUCAAUUUCUAGUCGCAUAGCUUCAUAAUAAUUCUGUAAAGCUUCCGCAUAAUUGCCUUCAGAUUGAGCUGACAUCCGUUACGGUCGUCAUUCGAUUCAAAGAAUUCUCCGUUUCAAAACCGUACAUGAGAUGAAAAUCUCAUACGGCUCCUCCUUUAUGUGCAUUAUGAGAAUAAUCCAUGAAAUCAAAAAAGAUUGAAAUAUUCUCAUUAUGAACUAAGUGGGGCUAAUGUUUUUACAAGAAAUCUCUAGCCAACCUUCCUGCAAAAGCUUUUUUCUUAAUAUCACGCGUGUUGGUACUAGAUAAAACCGGAAACUCCAACAAUUUCUUUGUUCUCAACGCCCCUUAAUUUACAGGAAUUAAUCACUUCAACAGUCUUCGAUGGUUAUACGGGUAUCCACAGUACGAACGAGAUGGAUGUUUGUUAUCCCAACCAUUCUUCUUAGUCCCGAUCCCGCUAAGGAAAGGGGGCAGCUUAUAACAAAGUUUUCGUGUUGCUGAUUCCUAGACGUAGCGCCUCUUCCCCUAUGCCGCCUAUUGGUACUGGUGUAGUAGGGUUGACUUGCAAUACAGAACCCAUAGGUGUAACCUUUCGCUCAAUACUAGAAUCGACAAUUGAAGCAUCUGAGGCUGCAUUAAUCGGGAUACACGACAGAAGGAAUGGUUUUAUCUAUAAACUUCACCUUCAACAAGCGUAGAUUUUUUCAAUAAUCUUUUUUUUUUUUUUUCUAUCCCGAAUUGUCUUUCUUUCUUCUAAGACCGAAAGGGGUAAAUAAAAAACUAAUCAAAUCGCACCAUCUCUGUAAUAGGUAAAUGCCUCUUUUUCUCCUACAGUUGUCGGAAUUAUUCGUAAUAAUAUAUUGGCUACAAUCGAAAAGGUCUUAUCAAUAAAAUUUCCGUUUAUCCGCGAUCUAGGCAUAGGUAAAAAUCCAUUCUAUAAUUCGUUUCAUUACCUCUUGUGAGAAAAUGAUCCCACAAACAAAGGAAUUGUACAGUACAAAAAUAACAUAAAAGCAGACGUGUUAAAAAAAAAUAAAAAAAAAAAUAGACCGAUCCGUUGAUUCGUUCCAACUCAUUGAUUAAAUCAGGUAGAAAUAUCAGAAAAAAAAAAAAAAAGGAGCGCCAUCUUUGCAAACAAGAUAUAUAGCCUUAUUGUUUUUUGUUUUGAACAGUUUUUCACAAACAAAAAAGUUAUCCUUUUCCCCAGACUCAAAGGAAGAAUUUUUUCUUUGCUGAAAGGGUUUCUAUUUUUCUAGUUAGAACGGAUUCGAUUGUCCGUACCCAUCUACCAAUCGAAUUUGAACAACUCGCUAUUCACGCGGGUUCUCGGUCAUAAUCAUUGUGUAGGAGAGAUGGCCGAGUGGUUCAAGGCGUAGCAUUGGAACUGCUAUGUAGACUUUUGUUUACCGGGGGUUCGAAUCCCUCUCUUUCCGUACCUUGAACUAAUUCAUCAAUGUUACUGACCGGAAUGUAUCCAAGCAAAAAAGAAUGAAUACCGAAGCAGUCAGACCUUUUUUUGAGCUAGAUUCUCAAUUCCUACGGGAAAGAAAGGGAAGGGGCAGGCAGGGGAUAAAAAUCUACCCUCGGAUCUAUGAUACAUGAAUGGGAUAAAAAAAAACUCCACGGAUCAAACUCCUUACCUUGUAUCCCUUCCUUAAGUUAGGUGAAAGGGUAAAUUUGUACGAGCCCGUUAUUUUAGUUAGGUUUAAGUUUGACGAGAAUAAUAUUCUACGACAAGCAAUUCAUUUAUUUUCAAACCGACCCAUUGACUAUCUAUUAUUUGAUUGACUAAUCCUUUAUAUUGGAAUGCGCGAAGAGUCAAAUGCUUUGGCAAUUCCUCAUGGUGGGAUGAAUCAAGAUAAUUUUGAACCAGAGAUCUAGAUUUUGGGUCAUCCCUUACUGUAAUAAUAUCUCGGGGUUUGCAACGAUAACUUGGUAUAUCGACUAUACGACCAUUAACUAAAAUAUGUCGAUGGUUAACCAAUUGGCGGGCUUGAGGAAUAGUUGAAGCCAUACCCAAUCGAAAAAGAAUGUUAUCCAAACGCAUUUCAAGUAAUUGUAGUAAAACCAGACCGGUUGACCCUUUGGCUUUUCUGGCGAUACGAACAUAUUUAAGUAAUUGUCGUUCUGUAAGACCAUAAUGAAAACGCAAUUUUUGUUUUUCUUCUAAACGAAUUCGAUAUUGAGAUUUUUUUACGGAGCGCAAUUGGUUUCUAAAAUCGCUUCCGGCUCUAGGCCUUUUACUCGUUAGUCCCGGCAAAGCCCCCAGACGGCGUAUUUUUUUGAAACGAGGCCCUCGGUAACGUGACAUAAAGACUCCUUAUUUUAUUGAAUUUCAUAAACCUAAAUUAAAACUGAGCUACAUGAUAAAUGAAGCAAAAUCCGCUGAAGUAUUGUACUACAAAGAAUACUAAGAUGAUUUGUAUCAAAUUCCAGACCCCUUUUUGUAUUGUAUACGCAUAUAGAAAUAUAAAUCAAAAGAGGGUUCCUUUUCUUGAUUUAUUCUGCCGAAAUCGAACUUCCUCCAACUUUUAUUCAUAAUUGGAAGCUCCUACAACAUACUGGAUCGAUGAUCCUUGGAAGAAGCCUUUUCAAUGUUCUUUUCUUUCAAAAAGACAUUAUCAAUCAUGUAAAAAAUCAAACAAAUAGAGAAAAGCCGGCUAUCGGAAUCGAACCGAUGACCAUCGCAUUACAAAUGCGAUGCUCUAACCUCUGAGCUAAGCGGGCUUAAUAAGAGAAAUUGUACAUGCGUAGGGAUCCUAGGAUCUUAUCUAUUAACCUUUUAUUCUUAGCUAUUCAUAAAGAAUAAAAUAGAGAAUCGAAUUUCAAAUAAAUGUUGAAUACUAUAGAUAUAGAACAUAACGAUUAAUCUAACAAUUACGAGAAUCUAGUGAUGAUAUAUAUUAGCGAAUUUGGAUUUUUUUAUCAAUUCUAUAUUGAUCAACAAUAAAUAUCUUACUCUUAAUUAGAUAAUAAAAUACGAUUUGAUUUAUUUAUUUUUUUUUUUUUCAUUUUUGAAUUCAAGACAUUUAAAAUUAUUUUUUUGUUUCUAACCUAAGAUUCUUAUAUUCUAUUCGAUUAUUCUAUAUUAUAGAAUAUACAUAAUAUUCGAUUAUUAUUCUAUAUUCUAUAUAUAUUUAGUUAUUCUAAAUCGAAUAUUAUAUUCGAUUCUUAUUAUCCAUUUUCGAAAUUCUAAAUUUGCUCUAUUCUAAUUCGAAAUAAUUAGGCUUUAGACUAAAUAAUUAGAAUUAUCUUCGAAUUCUAAUUUAAUUGACUGAGUAGUUAUAGCUAUUCUAUUGAUUAGGUCUAGCUAUUAUAUUCUAAAUGAUUAAUAAAAAUGAUUUAUUUUUAUUUAAUAAAUUGAAAUUGGAAUUUGAGUUUUUUUGGUUAUGUUAUAUAGGUUCUUCCUUAAGGAAAGGGCAAGUAUAAAUAGAAAAUGAAAUGAAAGAGAAAGAUACAAUCCCGCUAAAUGGAAUCUGGAUUAGAAUGAGACAUUUUUGUUUUCAUUCGAAAAGGGGCGUAAGAAAAAACGAAAAAAUAAAUCGACCGUUCGAGUAUUCCGCCGGAUUGCACGAAAAAAAUGAGAGUAAGGGGGCAUAUAUAUUUUAUGGUAGUUUAUAUCCAUCUAUAUUGAAUUGCGGAUACAGAAAAGAUAGAAUCAUUUCUGACAAGAAAGCAAAACACCUUUCGAUAUAUAUAAAUCCAUAUCUACGGAAUUCUACUGUUUCCGCAGAAAUGAAAGAAAGGGGGAACAGCAUUGAGUUCCUAAAACACAAAGGGGAUAUGGCGAAAUUGGUAGACGCUACGGACUUAAUUGGAUUGAGCCUUAGUAUGGAAACUUACUAAGUGAUAACUUUCAAAUUCAGAGAAACCCAGGAAUUAAAAAUGGGUAAUCCUGAGCCAAAUCCUCUUCUCUUUUCCAAGAACAAACAGGGGUUCAGAAAGCGAAAAAGGGGAUAGGUGCAGAGACUCAAUGGAAGCUGUUCUAACAAAUGGAGUUGACUGCCCUUUUUGGUAAAGAAAAAAGAAAGUCAAAUGAAUGCUUCUAUCGAAUAUCGAAACUCGAUAAAGGAUGAAGGAUAAGGGUAUAUAGACUAUGUAUACGCAGCGAAAAACUAACUCAAAAAUCACAACCAAAUACGUAUUUCUUUUUAUGAAAAAGAAAAGAAUUGUUAUUGUUAUGAAUCGAUUCUAAGUUGAAGAAAAAUCGAAUAUUCCGGCUCAAAUCAUUCACUCCACCUCCAUGGUCUGAUCGAUCCUUUCUUUUGACUUUUGAAGAACUGAUUAAUCGGACGAGAAUAAAGAUAGAGUCCCAUUCUACAUGUCAAUAUCAAUACGGGCAACAAUGAAAUUUAGAGUAAAAGGAAAAUCCGUCGACUUUAGAAAUCGUGAGGGUUCAAGUCCCUCUAUCCCCACCCCAAAAAAGGCCUAUUGACUCCCUAACCAUUUCUCCUACCUUCUCCUUUUUUUGUUAGUGGUUCAAAAGUCGGUAGGUUUCUCAUCUAUCCUACUCUUUUCCAUUUCCAAAAGGAUAUGGGCAGAAUUUUUUUCUCUUAUCACAAGCCGUAUGGUCUAUACGAUAUAUGUAGAAAUGAACACCUUUGAGCAAGGAAUCCCCGUUUUAAUGAUUCCCAAUCCAUAUUAUUGCUCAUACUGAAACUUACAAAGUCUUCUUUUGAUGAUUCAAGAAAUGAAAUUCCCCUCCCAAGACUUUUAAUCCCUGUUUAUUUUUAAUUGACAUAGACCCAAGUCAUCUAGUAAGAUGAGAACGGUGUGUCGGAAAUGGUCGGGAUAGCUCAGCUGGUAGAGCAGAGGACUGAAAAUCCUCGUGUCACCAGUUCAAAUCUGGUUCCUGGCAUAUGAUUAAUAUCUAUGAGUAUCUAUCACUACAAAUUCAGUGAUAUGGCUCGCCAUACAUAUUCAUUUAUAGAUCAUGAUACAUACAUACUUAUCCAUCUAGCUCGAUGUCUGGGAAUAGGCCUUUUUUCUUUUAUUUUUUUUUAUUUUAUUUCCUUCCCCUCUCUGUGACCCGCUAGAGCCCGUCGAAGUGGUGUGCGCGAUACAAAGUUCAUGAUACAGAACUCUUUAAUUUCUUUAUCCCAUUCACAAUAAUAAUACGAAUGAGACUUCAAUUCCUCCGUUUGAUCUAGAGAAAGAACGUACAAAUAUUUCUUGAAUAUUGGGUCAAAAUGAAGAUUAAUUUCUUAGAAUUCAAUAAGCAUCUUGUAUUUCAUAAAAAUUGGGGCAAUAUAAUCCUUACGUAAGGGCCACCCUAUCCAACUUUCAGGCAUUAAGAUACGUUUCAGUCGUGGAUGAUUAUCAUAAAGGAUUCCCAGCAUAUCAUAAGAUUCCCGUUCUUGAAAAUUCGCACUUUUCCAAACCCAGAAAACCGAUGGAAUUUUAGGAUUACUCCUUGGAGCAAAUACUUUUAUGCAUACCUCUUCUGGUUGAUCUACACCAUACUCUAUUCGCGUAAGAUGAUACACACUGGCUAACAGUCCGCCCGGUGCUACAUCAUAGGCACAUUGGGACCGUAGAUAAUUGUAGCCAUAUAUAUACAAAAUGACAGCAACGGAGUGCCAAUCCUCGGGCUUUAUUUGUAAAGUUUCUAUUCCUUGGUAAUCAAAGCCCAAAGAUCUAUGAACUAGCCCAUGCUUGACCAGCCAAGCAGACAAACGACCCUGCAUCUUUUUUAUCUCUCCCACAUUUUGAUUUCGAUAAAUAUUUCACAUUUACGAUGAAUUUUUGGAAUUUAUGAAGAUUAAUUCGCUCUUUCUAUUCUGUACAAAUGAAUCCUCCUGCCUAAUUAAUGAAUUCGGGGAAGAUACUGAACUUUUGUAUUUGAAAAAGGUUUCAGGGCGGAUUUCUGACGUAGAUGGUGGUUGAUAAAGUAAUCCUUGAUCAUAAUUUCCAGUAUUAGUACUGCAUACAACACGAAACUGUGUGAUUGGUAGUAAAAGUAAACGAGCGAUUCUCCCGUUGCAAUCGAAUUCGAUCUUCAUAGAUUUCUCGAGAUAUUUUCUUACGAAGUUUUGUUAUGGCAUCUAUAACGGCCUCUGGUUUAGGCGGGCAACCCGGCAAAUAAACAUCCACGGGAAUUAGCUUAUCAACUCCUCGAACAGUACUAUACGAAUCGGUACUGAACAUCCCCCUGUAAUUGUACAUGCUCCCAUAGCAAUAACAUAUUUUGGUUCAGGCAUUUGUUCAUAUAAUCUCACAAGAAGGAGCCAUUUUCAUUGUUACUGUACCAGCUGUUAAAAUUAGGUCCGCCUGUCUAGGGCUCGAUCUUGGUACCAGCCCAUAACGGUCAAAAUCGAACCGCGAGCCGAUUAAUGAAGCAAAUUCAAUGAAACAACAACUGGUACCAUAAAGAAGCGGCCAUAAGCUGGAGAGUCUUGACCAAUUUGAAAGAUCGUUUGAUGUAGUUGAAAUAAAUGAAUUUGGGGUUGUUCGAUCAAGUAAGGAAAAUUCAAUAGAAUUCAUAAUUCUCUCAAUGUUAUUUUUGUUUUUUUUUUUUUUUUUACUUUUUUGUUAUUGUCUGAAUAUUCAGAAACUAAGACCACUCUAAUGCUCCUUUUCGCCACGCAUAAACUAAACCAACAAUUAGGAUAAGCAUGAAAAUGAAAGCUUCUAUAAAUACGGGUACCCCCAAUACAUCAAAACUCAUUGCCCAUGGAUAAAGAAAAACGGUUUCAACAUCAAAAACAACAAAAACUAGAGCAAACAUAUAAUACCGGAUUCGAAAUUGUAACCAAGCAUCGCCCAUUGGUUCGAUACCCGAUUCAUAACUAGAAAGUUUCUCUGGCCCUUUGUUAAUCGGGGCUAAAACUGCGGAAAUUAGAAAUGCCAAAAUAGGAAUAACGCUUGAUAUUAUUAGAAAUGCCCAGAAAAUAUCAUAUUUGUAAAGCAGAAACAUAGCCAAACUCCUAUGAAUGUGGAAAAUAGACCAAAUUUGUCGAUGCAAAUUGGAAUUCAUUGUCAAGUCAUCGAUAAUUGGUUAAUCAAAACAACAAUUCAUUUUGAUCGAACCGCAAAGUUUCGUUUGUUUGUUGUGAUGUCUCGUUUUAAGAUUUAUCGAUUGGAAUCCUAUUUUCAUUACACUUCCUUCGAUUUUAUUUCAAUAUAGUAUAAAUCUCUUAUACAAACAAAACAAACAAAACCCUUUUGCGUUCACCGCGCUUCGGACUUGUCUAAAUCAAAGGAAGUCAAAAGAAAAUUCGAAUUUUUGUUUCGAAUUUCGAAUUCGAAUCUUCGAAAUUCAAUCGAUUUUGAUUCUAUUCUCAAUAUAUAGAAUAUUUUCUGUUUCUGAAUUAUGUUUAUGAAAAGCUAUUCGUUUUUCAAACGCUGAGGUGUCAACAAAUACCGUAAUCCGUUCCUAUAUCCAUGCGACUUACUAUUCCAUUUGAGUUGGGUUACGUCGGCGUCUCCCCGGAUUCGUGUCAUGAUUUUGACUCCGCAAAUUCACCAAAAGUAGGUGAGUAUACCAAAGAAAGGAAGUAUCAAUAACUCUUUGAUUGUGAUGGGAACAGGAAAAGAGGCAAAUCCAUAUGGAAUUCCCAUACGAAGAUUAUUAUUAUUAAUUAUUGAAGAAAGAAAAAUGGGUUUGUUUAGCCGAAUCCGAGAUUCUAAAAAAAAAAAUAGCGAUUAAAUCCAUUGAAAUGCGCUUUAGUUUUCAUUUCAGUUUGAUGUUCUGCUCGGAACGAGCUCCCUCCGAGCGAGCUUUUGGAAUGAUUUGAUUUCGAUGAACCACAAGCAACCCCCAGCGACCAGUUACAAACAACAAAAAUACAAUGAAUGAGGAAAUGAAAACUAUACAAUUUUUGUGUUUCUGUAUUUCCAUUUUGAUUAUUAUUAUUUGAGAUUAGUAUAGGCUAUACGGACUCGAACCGUAGACCUUCUCGGUAAAACAGAUCGAACUAAUUCUUAUCAAAAUGAUUCGAACUCUUUCAAAGACCCAACAUGCAUUUUUUUUUUUUGCAUUGGGCUCUUUCAUUAACUGAUAGAAAUAUCAGUUAGUCUACCAUAUUUUUUUCUUGACAGACAACUAAGGAAAUGGCUCCAUGUGCUCUAAUUCAUUAUUUGGAUUCGGAUAUAGGAGCACUCCCAAAGUGUUUCAAAGAAGGGUUAUCUUGACGUAGGUCUGCUUAUGGCCUAGAUCAACCUAAACGAAAUGGAGUCUCUAUCAUCCUGAUUAAAGAAUCACAUAUGAAACUUCAUACGCCUUAAGGUUCAUAGAACGAAAAGAGAAUUUUUGAGGUCCUUAUACUCAUUAUGCCUAGCAUUGAAUAGACUAGGUAUUUACCUUAUCAAUCUCUCAAAUCGAUGAUGGAUUCUAUUUGGUUCCUAAAAGGGCACCCGAAUCGGACCGAUCCAUUUGUCAGGCUAUUGUUCUCUUGUUUUGUUCCCUACAAGCCACGGAGUCAGACAUUAAUUUCUCAAAAAGAUCAAUUCUUUUGAUUGCAUGAUGGACUCCUCUGAAAAACAUUGGCGCACGUGUAAACGAGGUGCUCUACCUAACUGAGCUAUAGCCCUUGUCCUUGUGAUACAUAUUUUAUCAUAUUAUGUAGAUAAUUUCUUGUCAAGAUGAAUAUUCCAUGAUCCCACACCAUAUCUCUUUGAUCUUUUGGAUUGGUAUUGCUUAGAAGUCCUAUUAGAUUUAUACUCCAUCGAUGGGAUGUGAUGGGUCUCUUUUUGUUUUUUGUUAUAAUGAUAAAUGACCUACUUAACUCAGUGGUUAGAGUAUUGCUUUCAUACGGCGGGAGUCAUUGGUUCAAAUCCAAUAGUAGGUAGAAAUUAUUAGAUACCACGGCCAAUGGUAUCUAAUAAGUUUUUCUACUCACCUUUGUUUAUUGAUUUUGUAUCUUUUCUAUCCGAUUCAAUUUGAUUUUCGAAUUGAAACCUUUUUCCUUCCGUCAGAAUCCAAUUCCACUUGAUUGAAUUUAAUUGGAUUCAAUUGGCAGAAUCAAAAUAGGGGUAUAAACAGAAAUUCGUUGGAUUAUUCUAUUCGGGCGCACCAACUAGUUAUGAAAUCGCAUUGAUAACCUCUACUCGUGUCCUAGCUCGUCUGAGAGCUAGAUUUGCCUCAAUUGUUUGUCUCUUGCUUUCAGCUUUCCUCAAAUUAGCUUCUGCUAUUUCAAGAGUUUGCUGGGCUUCUUGGGGAUCAAUGUCACUACUCUUCUCCGCAUCAUUUACUAAAAUAGUGAUCUCAUUAUUCCCUAUUCUAGCAAAACCACCCAUCAGAGCCAUCGUUAACCAUUGGUCGUUAAAGCGGAUUCUUAAAAUACCUAUAUCUACAGCUGUGGCAAUAGGCGCGUGAUUUGGUAAUACGCCGAUUUGUCCACUAUUAGUAGAUAAAAUGAUUUCUUUCACUUCUGAAUCCCAAACAAUUCGAUUAGGGGUCAGUACACAAAGAUUUAAGGUCAUUUUCUUCAAAUUACUCUCCAUUUCUAAGUUUGUAGCCUUCGCAGUAACUUCAUCUAUGUUACCUACCAAAUAAAAGGCCUGCUCAGGAAGACCAUCUAAUUCUCCGGACAGGAUCAAUUUAAACCCUCUAAUAGUUUCGGCUAGACCAACAUAUUUCCCCGGGGAACCGGUAAAUACUUCGGCUACGAAAAAGGGUUGUGAUAAGAAACGCUCAAUUUUUCGCGCCCUUGCUACAGUUAAACGAUCCUCUUCGGACAGUUCGUCCAACCCAAGGAUAGCUAUAAUGUCCUGAAGUUCUUUGUAACGUUGUAAAGUUUGCUUAACUCUUUGCGCCGUUUCAUAAUGUUCCUCGCCAACGAUCCGAGGUUGCAGCAUAGUUGACGUUGAGUCUAAAGGAUCAACUGCUGGAUAGAUACCUUAGCAGCUAAUCCUCUUGAUAGUACGGUAGUAGCAUCUAAAUGGGCAAAUGUCGUGGCAGGAGCGGGAUCAGUCAAAUCAUCCGCGGGUACAUAAACUGCUUGAAUAGAAGUUAUGGACCCCUCUUUGGUAGAAGUAAUUCUUUCUUGUAAAGAACCCAUUUCGGUACUAAGGGUAGGUUGAUAACCCCACAGCGGAGGCAUUCUACCCAAUAAGGCGGAUACCUCGGAUCCCGCUUGGACGAACGGAAGAUAUUGUCGAUAAAUAGAAGUACGUCUUGUUCAUUAACAUCUCGGAAAUAUUCCGCCAUAGUUAGGGCCGUCAAACCAACUCUCAUACGAGCUCCUGGUGGUUCAUUCAUCUGACCGUAGACUAGAGCCACUUUUGAUUCCGAAAGAUUUUGGUCAUUAAUUACUCCAGACUCUUUCAUUUCCAUGUAAAGAUCAUUUCCUUCACGAGUACGUUCACCGACUCCGCCAAAUACGGAUACACCCCCAUGGGCUUUGGCAAUGUUGUUGAUCAAUUCCAUAAUGAGUACUGUUUUACCCACCCCAGCUCCCCCCAAAUAGUCCGAUUUUUCCUCCCCGACGAUAAUAAGAGCUAAAAGAUCUACUACUUUAAUUCCUGUUUCAAAAAAUAGAUAAUCUUGUAUCUAACUGUAUAAAAGCAGGCGCGGAUUUAUGAAUAGGGGAUGUUGUGCGAGUAUCUACAGGACCUAAAUUAUCAACGGGCUCUCCAAGCACGUUGAAAAAUUCGUCCUAGAGUCACUCCGCCCGACUGGAACACUUAGAGGAGCUCCCGUGUCAAUUACUUCCAUACCCCUCGUUAGACCAUCUGUAGCACUCAUGGCUACAGCUCUAACUCGAUUAUUCCCUAAUAAUUGCUGUACCUCGCAAGUCACAUUAAUUGUUGAUCGACAGUAUCUCGACCCUUAACUACCAGAGCAUUGUAAAUAUUAGGCAUCUUGCCGGGGGGAAAGGCUACAUCCAGUACCGGACCAAUGAUUUGAGCGAUAUGUCCUAGGUUUUGUUUUGCAAACGCGGAACCCCAGGACCGGAAGUAGUAGGAUUUAUUCUCAUAAAUAAUAAAGUGAAAGAUGUCAAUUUUUUUUUUUUUUUCGAACUUGAUCGCAUCCAAAAAAAUCUUCGAUAGCACGUGGAUCGGUUAAUUCAAUAAGAAAUGGGAGUUCGCGCUCGAUUUCGUUGGUACCGUCCAACCGAAUGCAAUUCAAUAGUUUCCUUAUGCUUAUGCAUUUAUGCAAUUUCAAUGAGGGAAUUUUCAAGUUCAACCAACCGACUUUCAAAAUAUCAAGUGUGGUGAAUAAAAAUCUUGAGAAAGUCGUUCAUUAUAUCUAUCAUUAUAGACAAUACCCGCCAUAUUAUCUAUGGAGUUCGAACCUGAACUCUCUUUUUCGAUUCAUUANNNNNUUAAUUAAUUAANNNNNUUCUAGUGCCCGAAAAUAAUAUUCUAAAGCUUUUGUAUGUUCUCCGUUACUUGUGUGGAUAAGGCCUAUGUUAUAGAGUAUAUAGCUUCGAUCGUAAGGAUCAAUUUCUAGUCGCAUAGCUUCAUAAUAAUUCUGUAAAGCUUCCGCAUAAUUGCCUUCAGAUUGAGCUGACAUCCGUUACGGUCGUCAUUCGAUUCAAAGAAUUCUCCGUUUCAAAACCGUACAUGAGAUGAAAAUCUCAUACGGCUCCUCCUUUAUGUGCAUUAUGAGAAUAAUCCAUGAAAUCAAAAAAGAUUGAAAUAUUCUCAUUAUGAACUAAGUGGGGCUAAUGUUUUUACAAGAAAUCUCUAGCCAACCUUCCUGCAAAAGCUUUUUUCUUAAUAUCACGCGUGUUGGUACUAGAUAAAACCGGAAACUCCAACAAUUUCUUUGUUCUCAACGCCCCUUAAUUUACAGGAAUUAAUCACUUCAACAGUCUUCGAUGGUUAUACGGGUAUCCACAGUACGAACGAGAUGGAUGUUUGUUAUCCCAACCAUUCUUCUUAGUCCGAUCCCGCUAAGGAAAGGGGGCAGCUUAUAACAAAGUUUUCGUGUUGCUGAUUCCUAGACGUAGCGCCUCUUCCCCUAUGCCGCCUAUUGGUACUGGUGUAGUAGGGUUGACUUGCAAUACAGAACCCAUAGGUGUAACCUUUCGCUCAAUACUAGAAUCGACAAUUGAAGCAUCUGAGGCUGCAUUAAUCGGGGAUACACGACAGAAGGAAUGGUUUUAUCUAUAAACUUCACCUUCAACAAGCGUAGAUUUUUUCAAUAAUCUUUUUUUUUUUUUUUUUCUAUCCCGAAUUGUCUUUCUUUCUUCUAAGACCGAAAGGGGUAAAUAAAAAACUAAUCAAAUCGCACCAUCUCUGUAAUAGGUAAAUGCCUCUUUUUCUCCUACAGUUGUCGGAAUUAUUCGUAAUAAUAUAUUGGCUACAAUCGAAAAGGUCUUAUCAAUAAAAUUUCCGUUUAUCCGCGAUCUAGGCAUAGGUAAAAAUCCAUUCUAUAAUUCGUUUCAUUACCUCUUGUGAGAAAAUGAUCCCACAAACAAAGGAAUUGUACAGUACAAAAUAACAUAAAAGCAGACGUGUUAAAAAAAAUAAAAAAAAAAAAUAGACCGAUCCGUUGAUUCGUUCCAACUCAUUGAUUAAAUCAGGUAGAAAUAUCAGAAAAAAAAAAAAAAAGGAGCGCCAUCUUUGCAAACAAGAUAUAUAGCCUUAUUGUUUUUGUUUUGAACAGUUUUUCACAAACAAAAAAGUUAUCCUUUUCCCCAGACUCAAAGGAAGAAUUUUUUCUUUGCUGAAAGGGUUUCUAUUUUUCUAGUUAGAACGGAUUCGAUUGUCCGUACCCAUCUACCAAUCGAAUUUGAACAACUCGCUAUUCACGCGGGUUCUCGGUCAUAAUCAUUGUGUAGGAGAGAUGGCCGAGUGGUUCAAGGCGUAGCAUUGGAACUGCUAUGUAGACUUUUGUUUACCGGGGGUUCGAAUCCCUCUCUUUCCGUACCUUGAACUAAUUCAUCAAUGUUACUGACCGGAAUGUAUCCAAGCAAAAAAGAAUGAAUACCGAAGCAGUCAGACCUUUUUUUGAGCUAGAUCUCAAUUUCCUAACGGAAAGAAAGGGAAGGGGCAGGCAGGGGAUAAAAAUCUACCCUCGGAUCUAUGAUACAUGAAUGGGAUAAAAAAAAACUCCACGGAUCAAACUCCUUACCUUGUAUCCCUUUCCUUAAGUUAGGUGAAAGGGUAAAUUUGUACGAGCCCGUUAUUUUAGUUAGGUUUAAGUUUGACGAAGAAUAAAUUCUACGACAAGCAAUUCAUUUAUUUUCAAACCGACCCAUUGACUAUCUAUUAUUUGAUUGACUAAUCCUUUAUAUUGGAAUGCGCGAAGAGUCAAAUGCUUUGGCAAUUCCUCAUGGUGGGAUGAAUCAAGAUAAUUUUGAACCAGAGAUCUAGAUUUUGGGUCAUCCCUUACUGUAAUAAUAUCUCGGGGUUUGCAACGAUAACUUGGUAUAUCGACUAUACGACCAUUAACUAAAAUAUGUCGAUGGUUAACCAAUUGGCGGGCUUGAGGAAUAGUUGAAGCCAUACCCAAUCGAAAAAGAAUGUUAUCCAAACGCAUUUCAAGUAAUUGUAGUAAAACCAGACCGGUUGACCCUUUGGCUUUUCUGGCGAUACGAACAUAUUUAAGUAAUUGUCGUUCUGUAAGACCAUAAUGAAAACGCAAUUUUGUUUUUCUUCUAAACGAAUUCGAUAUUGAGAUUUUUUUACGGAGCGCAAUUGGUUCUAAAAUCGCUUCCGGCUCUAGGCCUUUUACUCGUUAGUCCCGGCAAAGCCCCCAGACGGCGUAUUUUUUGAAACGAGGCCCUCGGUAACGUGACAUAAAGACUCCUUAUUUUAUUGAAUUUCAUAAACCUAAAUUAAAACUGAGCUACAUGAUAAAUGAAGCAAAAAUCCGCUGAAGUAUUGUACUACAAAGAAUACUAAGAUGAUUUGUAUCAAAUUCCAGACCCCUUUUUGUAUUGUAUACGCAUAUAGAAAUAUAAAUCAAAAGAGGGUUCCUUUUCUUGAUUUAUUCUGCCGAAAUCGAACUUCCUCCAACUUUUAUUCAUAAUUGGAAGCUCCUACAACAUACUGGAUCGAUGAUCCUUGGAAGAAGCCUUUUCAAUGUUCUUUUCUUUCAAAAAGACAUUAUCAAUCAUGUAAAAAAUCAAACAAAUAGAGAAAAGCCGGCUAUCGGAAUCGAAACCGAUGACCAUCGCAUUACAAAUGCGAUGCUCUAACCUCUGAGCUAAGCGGGCUUAAAUAAGAGAAAUUGUACAUGCGUAGGGAUCCUAGGAUCUUAUCUAUUAACCUUUUAUUCUUAGCUAUUCAUAAAGAAUAAAAUAGAGAAUCGAAUUUCAAAUAAAUGUUGAAUACUAUAGAUAUAGAACAUAACGAUUAAUCUAACAAUUACGAGAAUCUAGUGAUGAUAUAUAUUAGCGAAUUUGGAUUUUUUUAUCAAUUCUAUAUUGAUCAACAAUAAAUAUCUUACUCUUAAUUAGAUAAUAAAAUACGAUUUGAUUUAUUUAUUAUUUUUUUUUUUUUUUCAUUUUUGAAUUCAAGACAUUUAAAAUUAUUUUUUUGUUUCUAACCUAAGAUUCUUAAUAUAUUCUAUUCGAUUAUUCUAUAUUAUAGAAUAUACAUAAUAUUCGAUUAUUAUUCUAUAUUCUAUAUAUAUUUAGUUAUUCUAAAUCGAAUAUUAUAUUCGAUUCUUAUUAUCCAUUUUCGAAAUUCUAAAUUUGCUCUAUUCUAAUUCGAAAUAAUUAGGCUUUAGACUAAAUAAUUAGAAUUAUCUUCGAAUUCUAAUUUAAUUGACUGAGUAGUUAUAGCUAUCUAUUGAUUAGGUCUAGCUAUUAAUCUAAAGAUAAUAAAAAAUAUUUAUUUUAUUAAUAAAUUGAAAAUUGGAAUUUGAGUUAUUUUGGUUAUGUUAUAUAGGUUCUUCCUUAAGGAAAGGGCAAGUAUAAAUAGAAAAUGAAAUGAAGAGAAAGAUACAAUCCCGCUAAAUGGAAUCUGGAUUAGAAUGAGACAUUUUGUUUUCAUUCGAAAAGGGCGUAAGAAAAAACGAAAAAAUAAAUCGACCGUUCGAGUAUUCCGCCGGAUUGCACGAAAAAAAUGAGAGUAAGGGGGGCAUAUAUAUUUUUAUGGUAGUUAUAUCCAUCUAUAUUGAAUUGCGGAUACAGAAAAAGAUAGAAUCAUUCUGACAAGAAAGCAAAACACCUUUCGAUAAAUAUAUAAAUCCAUAUCUACGGAAUUCUACUGUUUCCGCAGAAAUGAAAGAAAGGGGAACAGCAUUGAGUUCCUAAAAACACAAAGGGGAUAUGGCGAAAUUGGUAGACGCUACGAGACUUAAUUGGAUUGAGCCUUAGUAUGGAAAACUUACUAAGUGAUAACUUUCAAAUUCAGAGAAACCCAGGAAUAAAAAAUGGGUAAUCCUGAGCCAAAUCCUCUUCUCUUUCCAAGAACAAACAGGGGUUCAGAAAGCGAAAAAGGGGAUAGGUGCAGAGACUCAAUGAAAGCUGUUCUAACAAAUGGAGUUGACUGCCCUUUUUGUGUAAAGAAAAAAGAAAGUCAAAUGAAUGCUUCUAUCGAAUAUCGAAACUCGAUAAAGGAUGAAGGAUAAGGGUAUAUAGACUAUGUAUACGCAGCGAAAAACUAACUCAAAAAUCACAACCAAAUACGUAUUUCUUUUUAUGAAAAAGAAAAGAAUUGUUAUUGUUAUGAAUCGAUUCUAAGUUGAAGAAAGAAUCGAAUAUUCCCCGCUCAAAUCAUUCACUCCACCUCCAUGGUCUGAUCGAUCCUUUCUUUUGACUUUGAAGAACUGAUUAAUCGGACGAGAAUAAAGAUAGAGUCCCAUUCUACAUGUCAAUAUCAAUACGGGCAACAAUGAAAUUUAGAGUAAAAGGAAAAUCCGUCGACUUUAGAAAUCGUGAGGGUCAAGUCCCUCUAUCCCCACCCCAAAAAAGGCCUAUUGACUCCCUAACCAUUUCUCCUACCUUCUCCUUUUUUUGUUAGUGGUUCAAAAGUCGGUAGGUUUCUCAUCUAUCCUACUCUUUCCAUUCCAAAAGGAUAUGGGCAGAAUUUUUUUCUCUUAUCACAAGCCGUAUGGUCUAAUACGAUAUAUGUAGAAAUGAACACCUUGAGCAAGGAAUCCCGUUUUAAUGAUUCCCAAUCCAUAUUAUUGCUCAUACUGAAACUUACAAAGUCUUCUUUUGAUGAUUCAAGAAAUGAAAUUCCCCUCCCAAGACUUUUAAUCCUGUUUAUUUUUUAAUGACAUAGACCCAAGUCAUCUAGUAAGAUGAGAACGGUGUGUCGGAAAUGGUCGGGAUAGCUCAGCUGGUAGAGCAGAGGACUGAAAAUCCUCGUGUCACCAGUUCAAAUCUGGUUCCUGGCAUAUGAUUAAUAUCUAUGAGUAUCUAUCACUACAAAUUCAGUGAUAUGGCUCGCCAUACAUAUUCCAUUUAUAGAUCAUGAUACAUACAUACUUAUCCAUCUAGCUCGAUGUCUGGGAAUAGGCCUUUUUUCUUUUAUUUUUUUUUUAUUUUAUUUCUUCCUUCCCCUCUCUGUGACCCGCUAGAGCCCGUCGAAGUGGUGUGCGCGAUACAAAGUUCAUGAUACAGAACUCUUUAAUUUCUUUAUCCCAUUCACAAUAAUAAUACGAAUGAGACUUCAAUUCCUCCGUUUGAUCUAGAGAAAGAAACGUACAAAUAUUUCUUGAAUAUUGGGUCAAAAUGAAGAUUAAUUUCUUAGAAUUCAAUAAGCAUCUUGUAUUUCAUAAAAAUUGGGGGCAAUAUAAUCCUUACGUAAAGGGCCACCCUAUCCAACUUUCAGGCAUUAAGAUACGUUUCAGUCGUGGAUGAUUAAUCAUAAAGGAUUCCCAGCAUAUCAUAAGAUUCCCGUUCUUGAAAAUUCGCACUUUUCCAAACCCAGAAAACCGAUGGAAUUUUAGGAUUACUCCUUGGAGCAAAUACUUUUAUGCAUACCUCUUCUGGUUGAUCUACACCAUACUCUAUUCGCGUAAGAAUGAUACACACUGGCUAACAGUCCCGCCCGGUGCUACAUCAUAGGCACAUUGGGACCGUAGAUAAUUGUAAGCCAUAUAUAUACAAAAUGACAGCAACGGAGUGCCAAUCCUCGGGCUUUAUUUGUAAAGUUUCUAUUCCUUGGUAAUCAAAGCCCAAAGAUCUAUGAACUAGCCCAUGCUUGACCAGCCAAGCAGACAAACGACCCUGCAUCUUUUUUAUCUCUCCCACAUUUUGAUUUCGAUAAAUAUUUCACAUUUACGAUGAAUUUUUGGAAUUUAUGAAGAUUAAUUCGCUCUUUCUUAUUCUGUACAAAUGAAUCCUCCUGCCUAAUUAAUGAAUUCGGGGGAAGAUACUGAACUUUUGUAUUUGAAAAAGGUUUCAGGCGGGAUUUCUGACGUAGAUGGUGGUUGAUAAAGUAAUCCUUGAUCAUAAUUUCCAGUAUUAGUACUGCAUACAACACGAAACUUGUGAUUGGUAGUAAAAGUAAACGAGCGAUUCUCCCGUUGCAAUCGAAUUCGAUCUUCAUAGAUUUCUCGAGAUAUUUUCUUACGAAGUUUUUGUUAUGGCAUCUAUAACGGCCUCUGGUUUAGGCGGGCAACCCGGCAAAUAAACAUCCACGGGAAUUAGCUUAUCAACUCCUCGAACAGUACUAUACGAAUCGGUACUGAACAUCCCCCUGUAAUUGUACAUGCUCCCAUACAAUAACAUAUUUUGGUUCAGGCAUUUGUUCAUAUAAUCUCACUAAAGAAGGAGCCAUUUUCAUUGUUACUGUACCAGCUGUUAAAAUUAGGUCCGCCUGUCUAGGGCUCGAUCUUGGUACCAGCCCAUAACGGUCAAAAUCGAACCGCGAGCCGAUUAAUGAAGCAAAUUCAAUGAAACAACAACUGGUACCAUAAAGAAGCGGCCAUAAGCUGGAGAGUCUUGACCAAUUUGAAAGAUCGUUUGAUGUAGUUGAAAUAAAUGAAUUGGGUUGUCGAUCAAGUAAGGAAAAUUCAAUAGAAUUCAUAAUUCUCUCAAUGUUAUUUUUUGUUUUUUUUUUUUUUUUUACUUUUUUGUUAUUGUCUGAAUAUUCAGAAACUAAGACCACUCUAAUGCUCCUUUUCGCCACGCAUAAACUAAACCAACAAUUAGGAUAAGCAUGAAAAUGAAAGCUUCUAUAAAUACGGGUACCCCCAAUACAUCAAAACUCAUUGCCCAUGGAUAAAGAAAAAACGGUUUCAACACAUCAAAAACAACAAAAACUAGAGCAAACAUAUAAUACCGGAUUCGAAAUUGUAACCAAGCAUCGCCCAUUGGUUCGAUACCCGAUUCAUAACUAGAAAGUUCUCUGGCCCUUUGUUAAUCGGGGCUAAAACUGCGGAAAUUAGAAAUGCCAAAAUAGGAAUAACGCUUGAUAUUAUUAGAAAUGCCCAGAAAAUAUCAUAUUUGUAAAGCAGAAACAUAGCCAAACUCCUAUGAAUGUGGAAAAUAGACCAAAUUUGUCGAUGCAAAUUGGAAUUCAUUGUCAAGUCAUCGAUAAUUGGUUAAUCAAAACAACAAUUCAUUUUGAUCGAACCGCAAAGUUUCGUUUGUUUGUUGUGAUGUCUCGUUUUAAGAUUUAUCGAUUGGAAUCCUAUUUCAUUACACUUCCUUCGAUUUUAUUUCAAUAUAGUAUAAAUCUCUUAUACAAACAAAACAAACAAAACCCUUUUGCGUUCACCGCGCUUCGGACUUGUCUAAAUCAAAGGAAGUCAAAAGAAAAUUCGAAUUUUUGUUUCGAAUUUCGAAUUCGAAUCUUCGAAAUUCAAUCGAUUUUGAUUCUAUUCUCAAUAUAUAGAAUAUUUUCUGUUUCUGAAUUAUGUUUAUGAAAAGCUAUUCGUUUUUCAAACGCUGAGGUGUCAACAAAUACCGUAAUCCGUUCCUAUAUCCAUGCGAACUUACUAUUCCAUUUGAGUUGGGUUACGUCGGCGUCUCCCCGGAUUCGUGUCAUGAUUUUGACUCCGCAAAUUCACCAAAAGUAGGUGAGUAUACCAAAGAAAGGAAGUAUCAAUAACUCUUUGAUUGUGAUGGGAACAGGAAAAGAGGCAAAUCCAUAUGGAAUUCCCAUACGAAGAUUAUUAUUAUUAAUUAUUGAAGAAAGAAAAAUGGGUUUGUUUAGCCGAAUCCGAGAUUCUAAAAAAAAAAAUAGCGAUUAAAUCCAUUGAAAUGCGCUUUAGUUUUCAUUUCAGUUUGAUGUUCUGCUCGGAACGAGCUCCCUCCGAGCGAGCUUUUGGGAAUGAUUUGAUUUCGAUGAACCACAAGCAACCCCCAGCGACCAGUUACAAACAACAAAAAUACAAUAUGAAUGAGAAAUGAAAACUAUACAAUUUUGUGUUUCUGUAUUUCCAUUUUGAUUAUUAUUAUUUGAGAUUAGUAUAGGGCUAUAACGGACUCGAACCGUAGACCUUCUCGGUAAAACAGAUCGAACUAAUUCUUAUCAAAAUGAUUCGAACUCUUUCAAAGACCCAACAUGCAUUUUUUUUUUUUUGCAUUGGGCUCUUUCAUUAACUGAUAGAAAUAUCAGUUAGUCUACCAUAUUUUUUUCUUGACAGACAACUAAGGAAAUGGCUCCAUGUGCUCUAAUUCAUUAUUUGGAUUCGGAUAUAGGAGCACUCCCAAAGUGUUUCAAAGAAGGGUUAUCUUGACGUAGGUCUGCUUAUGGCCUAGAUCAACCUAAACGAAAUGGAGUCUCUAUCAUCCUGAUUAAAGAAUCACAUAUGAAACUUCAUACGCCUUAAGGUUUCAUAGAACGAAAAGAGAAUUUUUGAGGUCCUUAUACUCAUUAUGCCUAGCAUUGAAUAGACUAGGUAUUUACCUUAUCAAUCUCUCAAAUCGAUGAUGGAUUCUAUUUGGUUCCUAAAAGGCACCCGAAUCGGACCGAUCCAUUGUCAGGCUAUUGUUCUCUUGUUUGUUCCCUACAAGCCACGGAGUCAGACAUUAAUUUCUCAAAAAAGAUCAAUUCUUUUGAUUGCAUGAUGGACUCCUCUGAAAAACAUUGGCGCACGUGUAAACGAGGUGCUCUACCUAACUGAGCUAUAGCCCUUGUCCUUGUGAUACAUAUUUUAUCAUAUUAUGUAGAUAAUUUCUUGUCAAGAUGAAUAUUCCAUGAUCCCACACCAUAUCUCUUUGAUCUUUUGGAUUGGUAUUGCUUAGAAGUCCUAUUAGAUUUAUACUCCAUCGAUGGGAUGUGAUGGGUCUCUUUUUGUUUUUUGUUAUAAUGAUAAAUGACCUACUUAACUCAGUGGUUAGAGUAUUGCUUUCAUACGGCGGGAGUCAUUGGUUCAAAUCCAAUAGUAGGUAGAAAUUAUUAGAUACCACGGCCAAUGGUAUCUAAUAAGUUUUUUCUACUCACCUUUGUUUAUUGAUUUUGUAUCUUUCUAUCCGAUUCAAUUUGAUUUUCGAAUUGAAACCUUUUCCUUCCGUCAGAAUCCAAUUCCACUUGAUUGAAUUUAAUUGGAUUCAAUUGGCAGAAUCAAAAUAGGGGUAUAAACAGAAAUUCGUUGGAUUAUUCUAUUCGGGCGCACCAACUAGUUAUGAAAUCGCAUUGAUAACCUCUACUCGUGUCCUAGCUCGUCUGAGAGCUAGAUUUGCCUCAAUUGUUUGUCUCUUGCUUUCAGCUUCCUCAAAUUAGCUUCUGCUAUUUCAAGAGUUUGCUGGGCUUCUUGGGGAUCAAUGUCACUACUCUUCUCCGCAUCAUUUACUAAAAUAGUGAUCUCAUUAUUCCCUAUUCUAGCAAAACCACCCAUCAGAGCCAUCGUUAACCAUUGGUCGUUAAAGCGGAUUCUUAAAAUACCUAUAUCUACAGCUGUGGCAAUAGGCGCGUGAUUUGGUAAUACGCCGAUUUGUCCACUAUUAGUAGAUAAAAUGAUUUCUUUCACUUCUGAAUCCCAAACAAUUCGAUUAGGGGUCAGUACACAAAGAUUUAAGGUCAUUUCUUCAAAUUACUCUCCAUUUCUAAGUUUGUAGCCUUCGCAGUAACUUCAUCUAUGUUACCUACCAAAUAAAAGGCCUGCUCAGGAAGACCAUCUAAUUCUCCGGACAGGAUCAAUUUAAACCCUCUAAUAGUUUCGGCUAGACCAACAUAUUUCCCCGGGGAACCGGUAAAUACUUCGGCUACGAAAAAGGGUUGUGAUAAGAAACGCUCAAUUUUCGCGCCCUUGCUACAGUUAAAACGAUCCUCUUCGGACAGUUCGUCCAACCCAAGGAUAGCUAAUAAUGUCCUGAAGUUCUUUGUAACGUUGUAAAGUUUGCUUAACUCUUUGCGCCGUUUCAUAAUGUUCCUCGCCAACGAUCCGAGGUUGCAGCAUAGUUGACGUUGAGUCUAAAGGAUCAACUGCUGAUAGAUACCUUUAGCAGCUAAUCCUCUUGAUAGUACGGUAGUAGCAUCUAAAUGGGCAAAUGUCGUGGCAGGAGCGGGAUCAGUCAAAUCAUCCGCGGGUACAUAAACUGCUUGAAUAGAAGUUAUGGACCCCUCUUUGGUAGAAGUAAUUCUUUCUUGUAAAGAACCCAUUUCGGUACUAAGGGUAGGUUGAUAACCCACAGCGGAAGGCAUUCUACCCAAUAAGGCGGAUACCUCGGAUCCCGCUUGGACGAAACGGAAGAUAUUGUCGAUAAAUAGAAGUACGUCUUGUUCAUUAACAUCUCGGAAAUAUUCCGCCAUAGUUAGGGCCGUCAAACCAACUCUCAUACGAGCUCCUGGUGGUUCAUUCAUCUGACCGUAGACUAGAGCCACUUUGAUUCCGAAAGAUUUUGGUCAUUAAUUACUCCAGACUCUUUCAUUUCCAUGUAAAGAUCAUUUCCUUCACGAGUACGUCACCGACUCCGCCAAAUACGGAUACACCCCCAUGGCUUGGCAAUGUGUUGAUCAAUUCCAUAAUGAGUACUGUUUUACCCACCCCAGCUCCCCCAAAUAGUCCGAUUUUUCCUCCCCGACGAUAAGGAGCUAAAAGAUCUACUACUUUAAUUCCUGUUCAAAAAUAGAUAAUCUUGUAUCUAACUGUAUAAAAGCAGGCGCGGAUUUAUGAAUAGGGAUGUUGUGCGAGUAUCUACAGGACCUAAAUUAUCAACGGGCUCUCCAAGCACGUUGAAAAUUCGUCCUAGAAGUCACUCCGCCGACUGGAACACUUAGAGGAGCUCCCGUGUCAAUUACUUCCAUACCCCUCGUUAGACCAUCUGUAGCACUCAUGGCUACAGCUCUAACUCGAUUAUUCCCUAAUAAUUGCUGUACCUCGCAAGUCACAUAAUUGGUUGAUCGACAGUAUCUCGACCCUUAACUACCAGAGCAUUGUAAAUAUUAGGCAUCUUGCCGGGGGAAAGGCUACAUCCAGUACCGGACCAAUGAUUUGAGCGAUAUGUCCUAGGUUUUUGUUUGCAAACGCGGAAACCCCAGGACCGGAAGUAGUAGGAUUUAUUCUCAUAAUAAUAAAGUGAAAGAUGUCAAUUUUUUUUUUUUCGAACUUGAUCGCAUCCAAAAAAAUCUUCGAUAGCACGUGGAUCGGUUAAUUCAAUAAGAAAUGGGAGUUCGCGCUCGAUUUCGUUGGUACCGUCCAACCGAAUGCAAUUCAAUAGUUUCCUUAUGCUUAUGCAUUUAUGCAAUUUCAAUGAGGGAAUUUUCAAGUUCAACCAACCGACUUUCAAAAUAUCAAGUGGGUGAAUAAAAAUCUUGAGAAAGUCGUUCAUUAUAUCUAUCAUUAUAGACAAUACCCGCCAUAUUAUCUAUGGAGUUCGAACCUGAACUCUCUUUUCGAUUCAUUAUUUCUAUCUCAUUGGACCUUAUUUCUUAUUUUAGCAUAUCGACUUAUGCCUAGUCUAUUCUUUUUUUGGAUAUAUAUACCCUGCUUUUUGAUAUAUAUACCCUGCCUUUCUUUACUGGAUGAAUUACGCAUAUUUUCUUUGCACAUAUAGGAUUUACGUAUACAACACAUAUUACUGUCAAGAGUCAAUUUCUUAUGAUUUAGAAAUUUCGAUUGAAAAAAGGUAAGGGAUUAGAAACUUGAAAGGCGCCGAUUGGGUUGCGCCAUACAUAUGAAAGAGUAUACAAUAAUGAUGUAUUUGGUGAAUCAAAUACCAUGGUCUAAAAAAAACAAGGAAACGCUCUGAGUAGGUGAUAAUAUUAAUUGAAAAGCUUGUGAAAGAUUCCUGUGAAGGGGUUUCAUUAACUCCUAAUUUAUGUCGAGUAGACCUUGUUCUUGCGAGAAUUCUUAAUUCAUGAGUUGUAGGAGGGACUUAUGUCACCACAAACAGAGACUAAAGCGAGUGUUGGAUCAAGGCCGGUGUUAAAGAUUAUAAAUUGACUUAUUAUACUCCUGACUAUGUAACCAAAGAUACUGAUAUCUUGCAGCAUUCCGAGUAACUCCUCAGCCCGGAGUUCCACCCGAGGAAGCGGGGGCUGCGGUAGCUGCGGAAUCUCUACUGGUACCUGGACAGCUGUGUGGACCGAUGGGCUUACCAGCCUUGAUCGUUACAAAGGGCGAUGCUACAACAUUGAGCCCCGUUGCUGGAGAAGAGAAUCAACUAUAUAUGUUAUGUAGCUUACCCGUUAGACCUUUUUUGAAGAAGGUUCUGUUACUAACAUGUUUACUUCCAUUGUGGGUAAUGUAUUUGGUUUCAAAAGCACUGCGCGCUCUACGUCUAGAGGAUCUACGAAUCCCUCCUGCGUAUACUAAAACUUUCCAAGGCCCGCCUCACGGCAUCCAAGUUGAGAGAGAUAAAUUGAACAAGUAUGGCCGUCCCCUGUUGGGAUGUACUAUUAAACCUAAACUGGGGUUAUCCGCGAAGAAUUAUGGUAGGGCGGUUUAUGAAUGUCUACGUGGUGGACUUGACUUUACCAAAGAUGAUGAGAACGUGAACUCCCAACCAUUUAUGCGUUGGAGGGACCGUUUCUUAUUUUGUGCGGAAGCUCUUUAUAAAGCGCAAGCUGAAACAGGUGAAAUCAAAGGUCAUUACUUGAAUGCUACUGCAGGGACAUGCGAAGAAAUGCUAAAAAGGGCUGUCUUUGCCAGAGAGUUGGGAGUUCCUAUCGUAAUGCAUGACUACUUAACAGGGGGAUUCACCGCAAAUACUACCUUGGCUCAUUAUUGCCGAGAUAAUGGUCUACUUCUUCACAUCCACCGUGCAAUGCAUGCAGUUAUUGAUAGACAGAAGAAUCAUGGUAUGCACUUUCGUGUACUAGCUAAAGCUUUGCGUCUGUCUGGUGGAGAUCAUAUUCACGCCGGUACAGUAGUAGGUAAACUUGAGGGGGAAAGAGACAUAACCUUGGGAUUUGUUGAUUUACUACGUGAUGAUUUUGUUGAAAAAGAUCGAAGCCGCGGUAUUUAUUUCACUCAAGAUUGGGUCUCUAUACCAGGUGUUAUACCUGUGGCUUCCGGGGUAUUCACGUUUGGCAUAUGCCUGCGUUGACAGAGAUCUUUGGAGAUGAUUCCGUAUUNNNNNUUAAUUAAUUAANNNNNAUUUAGGGAAUGUCAUGUCCCAACAAUUACCACCACCAUUAUAAAAACUUUAUAAGUAUUACUUAUCACUUCCCAAUAAUAUUUACUUUUCAGUAGCAAUUGAUCAUGUGGGCCAAAUUAAAUAUAUUGGCCCUAAAAUUCAGAAUCUAUUUAUAUCCAACAUUAACACCAGCCUUGGCACUCUCAACUGAGCAAAACCUAAAGCCUCUUCUUAAUCAAUCUUUUCAAAAAUUUCAUCGAAACCAUUCUAGAUACCCCUAGGAUAUUGAACGCAUGGUCAAAGGUGUUUUGAUACAUGUGGUUCAGGCAAGACCACAAAUGUAGAACAUUAAGUAAUAAUAUGCAUGCAUAUAUGUACAUUCUAUAGAUAAAAUAAGACCAAGCACUUGCAUAGACUUUAACAAUAUUGUCAAUGUAUAGAAUUGGGCUCCUCAACAAAAUGUAUCUAGAUUUAAGAGAAAUAAAAUCCAUAGUUAAAUUUUAAAAAUAUAUAUAUAGCUUCAAGAAAUUUAAAAUGAAAAUCAAUAAAAAUUAACUAUUAAAACCAGUAAAUUAGUUAACAUAGCAAUCUAAUAUCUAAUUCAUGAAAUAGAAAUAAAAACAUGAAAAAUACAGCAACGACUUACCAAAGAGUGUGAAGCUUCAAUUGAAAGUGAGGAUAGGGUUUUAAUUAGUGUUGGCAACAUUCCCGCACUAAUUUUGUAUAUUAUUUCAUUAUGUAAUUGGAUAUAUUUGUUAAGCAUAUUAAUAGUUGUCUCAAUUCAUGGUUAGAAAUUUCCUUUGCAUUAAUUUUUUGGAUUUGUAACAAGAGUUUUCACUAUGUUUCUCUCUUGGUUGUUAUAUUUCACUGCUCUUAGAUUCCUUUUAAGCCAUUACUGGUGCAAGAGUUAUUUAAAUAUAAAUUUUGUUAUAAAAAAAUUCAAAGAACUUAUGAAUACAAAGAAAAGGUUGGAUAUACGAGGGUUUCUUUUGAAUAUUUUCAUGGGACACCCUGAGGUUUCAUUGUUUCAUGUUUUCUAGCAAAUUUCAACAGUUUUUACAUUUAAGUCCAGAAGAAUGUAAUAUGUUUCUGGAGGUGGUGCGAAGAAAUUAUGUGAGUUAGGAUUUUGGGUUUAUAUCCCAAUGGCACCCUAUAGUUUCACAGUUUACGAUUUAGCUAAAGUAUCUAGGUUUUGGGAAAAAAAGUUCAAAUUUAUUUAUAUUGGAUCCAAGUCUAGUUUUCGUUAUCAAUUGAAUAAUAUGAAUUAAUUACUCCAAAUUUAUUUAUAUUACUCACAAGCCUAUUUUUGAGAUUUCAAAAUUGGGUCAUCUAAAUGAAAGAUUUUGUAAGAUCAAUAAUAAAAUUUAUUUGUCUUAAGAUUUUUUAAAAAUAAAUUUUGGCUUAUUUUAUUAAAUUAAUUGGGUCUUGAUAUUAUAAAAAAUUUAUUUUAAAAAUAAGAUGCAAUGGAAUUUUAAUUAAAAGGUGCGCAAAUUUGGUCUUAAAAAAUUGAAUCAAGGAUAAAUUAAAAAAGCCAAAGUGGACUUGAACAAGACCAUGUACAAGGAAGAGAAAGAAGUUGGACAUUGACUUGAAGCCCACAAGAUAAUAGGCUUGUAGAUUAAGUCAAUUUUUUCUUAGGAAAACCAUAAAUUGAUAUUGUUUAAUUGCUUUUAGUCUAUAUGAUAUGUUUGGAUGAUAACAUCUCAUGACAACAUGUCAUAUAGAAUAGUAGUGCCACUCUAUGCAUCAUAAUAUAUGACAUCUAUAGAUUAUGAAUCUAAAUAUAUAUAUUGUUGAUAUUAUUGUUUGUAUUUACAUGUGCUAAGAAUAUAAGAUUUCAUCUAGAUAAUAUUAUUUUAGGAAGCAUGCAAUUAACAAUAUUGGAUAUAAUCUGUUUAUUGUCCAAAAAAAAACCAACUUUAAAUAUUGAGUUUGAGAGGGAAAAUUCAAGAUAAUUUUUCCCGUGGGCUCCAUUGUGAUGCACUCAAAAAGCACAUAACUUAAAACCUUGCCUUAAAAAUUAUCUUUUUUUUUUAUAGUAUAGAGGUGUAAGCAAGGGUCAUUCCCACAGAGGAUUGUGGCCAACAACAAAGAUUAAAUUAAAAACCCUAUCUUCACUUAAAGAAAUUGACUCAAAAUUUCCAGAUAAAUAAGUACAAACUAAUGAAGUCACAAAUAAAUUUGGGGGGAUUUGGAGUUGAUUUACUAUGAAUAAGGCACAAAAUCUGAAUUUUAUAGAAAGCAGCUUCAAGAGAAUUUAAAUUUGAUAAGAAAUAUGGUUAAGGAAUCAUUCUCCACCACUAAACAUUAGACUUAGUCAAUCAUCAGAAUUAUAAUUCACUUUCUUUUAAAAACAACAACCCUAAAUAAUUACAAGCUCAAUUAUCUUGAUCUUUUUUAAUAUCCAUCAAAUAACCUAGAACAAGCUCUCUAGAUUUAAUUUAAUGAAAGCAUUAGAAUCAAGAAAGAUAUAGGCUGAAUCAAGAGACAAACACUGAUGAGAACCAUCAAGGGAAUACCAUUAAAACUUCAAGUGAUCCUUUGCACAUUCAUGGAGGCCCAAUUACAAGAGCAAGAGCCAAAAAGAUGCAAGCUGCUUUAAAUGGAUUAAUUGAGAAAAUAUGGAUUGAAAAUGCAAUUCAAGAUGCAAGACAUCAUGAAUUGGGCUUGAAGAGAAGACAAGGCAUUGUGGGCAUUAUUCAAGUUAUUGGGCAGCCAAAUACACAAUUUGUAUCAAAUGUAGAAAGGUCAAAUUUGGAAUAAAAACUGUAUUGAUUGAGCUAGAAGUAAUGUGCAAGCUAUAUACCGUUGGAAAGAUAAUUAAGCUAGCUUUCCAAUAAAUUUUACAGAGCUGGAUUUGGAGUUCUCUAGAAGGAGUUAUGACCAAUUCAUUACAUCUUGUUCAGACUUGGGAUUUUCAACGACUCCUUUGUUUUUCAACUUCAUUUGUUUGUUUUGUUUCAAGUUUGUCAAUGUGUAAAGUAAGUCUACCAUCAAUGAUGGUGGGCUAACAUUAAGUUUGUCAAUGAUAGCAUUAAUUAUAGUAGGCUAGCAUUAAGUUUGUCAAAGAUCGCAUUAAUUAUGGUGGGUUGGUGAAGACUUUUGAAACAUCCUUUGACAAACCUACUUGGAGGGUUGUUCCAAUGUUUCCAUUUGUAUUUUUAGGAUCUUGGGUUUCUUUUAGCCUAUUUAAAUUCAACAACCUUGCUAUGUAUAAUAUUAGAGAUUAAUGUUAUUUGAAUUUGAAAGAUUAUUCUUUCUUUGGUUCUUUUGAGAACUAGUGAACUUAAUCAAGAAUUUGCAUUCUUGUGGCGUUCUAAAUUUAGACUUAUCACUCACCUUCUCAUCUAUUUCUUGAGUGUGGUGUCAAUAUCAUUCUCUAUACCUUUAGUUCAUGUUUUCUUAAGCAUUGGGUCAAGGUUUUGUUUGUCAUAAAUCUGUUUAGAACUUUCUUAAGAAGUUGAAACUACAAAUUAAGUGUGGGUUUCAAAGUUUCAUUGUGGGAUUCACAUCAUUGGUAUCAGAGCUAGUUUCUAAUCAAGUUUGAAUGUCUUAUUUAUUUGAUUAUCAAAAAAAAAAAAAGAGAAAAACGUACAAAAAAAAAAGAUUACAAAAGGAUUCAAGUAUUUCUACUUUCAUCAAAAUUGAUUUUUAGUUAUUCAUUUUUCCUUGGCAUAGUUUUCACACAUAUCAAUUGUGUUGCCUUGCUUGCUUGCUUUCCUUUUCACUCUUAAUUUCUUUCUUUGUUAGUGUGUUGGAUUGUCAUAUUUUGGUGUGCCACUUGGGUUUUUUUUUUCUUGAUUUUGUUUUAUUUAGUUCAAUAAAGAACUGAAAGAGAGAAUUAAGUGUGGUAAAAGGCAAAAGUUUGUGAGAUCACAAAUAUGUCAAAAGAUCAAGAAGCUAUAGACCGAUCAAUCAUCCUCAAAGCCAUGCAACAACAAUUUGAGCACAUGAAUCUGAUGUUUGGAGAGAUCCGUGACAAAUUGGGGAGGCAAGACACUGCCAUAGCCAAUCUACAAAGGGGGCCAAUAGCUCCUAAUGUAAGAGGUAAUCAAGGGCGUGCUGUUCAUGGGAGAAGAAGAUGGUGAUGACAUAGAUGAUUUUGAUGACCAGGCGACUGUUGACAUGCGUGGAAGAGAUAAUAGAAGGCAAGACGUAUAGAUCAUGAUUUCGGGAGUAUCAAACUGAAAAUUCCUUCUUUUCAAGGUAAAAAUGAUCUGGAAGCUUAUUUGGAAUGGGAAAAAAAGGUGGAGCUAGUAUUUGAUUGCCACAACUACUCUGAGGAGAAAAAGGUAAAACUAGUUGCUGUUGAAUUUAUUGAUUAUGCUAUCAACUUCCUCCAACAAUGCUUCUACGUCUUCUAUCAUAACUCCAGUUUCCCUUUCCUCCACCCUCUCCUUACCCAAAUCUUGCUCCAAACACACUGCUAGUAAGAUCGAAAAUUUAGUUGAAUAUUCUUGUAUCCCUGAAUCUGCUCAGAUCACUGAAUCUUCUUUUCCUCUUCUUAGUCCUUAUCACCUCUAUAAACGAUCACACUCCUUUACUCGCAGUAUUCGAACCCUUAUUUCCACCAAAAGACCACAUCCAAAAAGAAUACAUCCAGUCAUCCAGAUUGGAUCAGUGUUCCCUUCAGGCUACCACAGCUGAACAAUAUGUCACUUUGGAAAUUCCCCCCAGACUUGAUUUCCAAUUGGCAAAGAGAAAGUUAUACUCAUCUCCAUAUCGGAGGAGUCCGACUAAUCCUAACCUUACAUGGAAGGAAAGGAUACCAGUCAUGCCCAGAAUUGCUAUGCUGGACACUAGGUUCACACAUUACCAAGAUGUUGUUAUUGGUAACUUGUCUUAACCACUCUUCAAUGCUGGAAGUGUUUUUACUCACUUUCUAUCCUAAUUUCAACCUUUCUCUUCAAGACACUAAUCUCUCCAUAGCCUUGCAAGUCCAAGUGCAAAAUCAAGGUGCAGACCAAGUCUCUUCUGCAAAAAUUGCCACUCUUCACCAUCAAUUGGUCUAUAGGCUCCAGAACCAUGCCUUAGAUCUUCCUUCGCUUGAGCACCACUCUGACGCCCUCAUGGUGUUAGCAGAAUCAGGCCAAAUCCCAACCAUCAUUCAAAUUCCAAGACAGAUCCUCAACAUGAACUCAUAAAACUCAUGCCUUGGAAUGGAUUUCAAAUUAUGAGAAGUUCCACGCCAAUUACUUCUCCUAUCCAGACCACAUAAAGUAUGUUUGAAAAGAAGAUCUGAUAGAACUGUCCGAAUGACUUUUCGGCCUCCACCAAUAGCACUAGAGGAGCCUCCACGACUCUCAUUCACUUAUUCAGCCAUGGUAACGGCUGUCCAGACCGCUCAAGAAAAGUUGCCAAUUACAGGAUUCACUUUAAAAGGAUAUCUUGUCUAUCCUGCCAAACUUAAUGGCCAACUUUCUUUGGGAUUCACUAGGAUCAGGAAAUUGUGACCCAGAUUGUCCCUGUUGGGAUGAUUGGGAAGAAGAUGAUGUUGGCUUUACAGCCGGAAAAGGAAACCAAAAAAGAAAAUACCUAAAACUCCGUGCUCACACAACCAACCUAAACCACCUCAUAAUCCUCCACCACCACCAGCUCCAUUACCCAUCUACCAAAAAUAACUGAGAUGGAUUGCCAAAAAUUGCAAAACUGAAAUCCUUCCCAUCCUCAGCCGUCCACAUUACCCAUGCAGCCUAUGGCUUUGUAUGAUGUUCUCAUCCACCUCACAAGAUUAUUCCUCCAAUUUCCCUGCCCUCGAAACCCAUACCGAUCUACAAUGAAAGGUCAUCACUAAACCCUUUAUUCCUUCCGCCAUCACUCCUACAGGUCAUUUAGAAGACCCUAAACCUUUCGAAGCCGUUCUCAACUGGCAAACACAAAAUGCCAGAGCUCAAAAUGAAGCCUUAGUUGAUAUCCAUAAGAAGGUUAAUCAUAUUAGUUUUACAAACUGAUCAUAUUGAAUCUAAGAUGGAUUUGAUUACUUCUCAGAUGCAGCAGAUUUACCAGAAUCUUCAGUCCCAAAUCUCCCAACUAGAUUCGAAAUUAAGAACCAUGCUGAGUCAUAGCUACAAUGGUCCAGAAUUUGAUCAAAAGGAAAAGGAAAUCCGAAAGCUGAGAGCAGAACUCGAACAGAUUGAGUUGGACAGGCAAAGGCCAACAUUAUUUACUACCUCUCCACUAUUACCCACUAUUAGCCCCACCUUCCAUCCUUUUGCACCUAUGCUUUCUCCAAUCAAGCCCCAAGACCCAUCCAAAAUUAUUUGGCAUGACCCAUACUUUGUUCAGAAAAACAUCCUCUGCCGAACACAUCUAGAUCUACAUCUCAUCCUCGUCCACGACCCGAUAAACAGCCCUUCCAUCCACCUUUGUCUAUCACAGAACCACAACCAACCUAUAUAUACCCAACUCCCUCCUCAACCAACACCAACUCAGGCCAAAGAUAAAUCACCAAAUGCACCAAUAUAGUGCACAGAUAAUCCCAGACCCAUCUGAUACAGACCAAACUUCUGAUUCAAAUCUCACCGUUCAGUCAAUCAAUCUGAAUCCGACACAGACUCUUCCCUUGAAUCUUCCAUCUCAUCUAGUGAUUCUGAAAAAUCCUAUGCUAAUAUCACUAGGAUUCUUAUGGCCCAACCUGAAGAAACUGAGCCUGCUCAAUCCUCAAGAACUGACCCAUUUUUUGAAAUACCCUCAGAUAUUGAGGAAGAUCCACCCGAAGCAUCCUCCGCUCCAAACCGACCAGCUUAAUCCCACCAUGAUCAUAAACCUUCAAAUGGUCCAUGGUUCACUUUUGAUGAUAUCCCCUGCAGCUAAAUGGAGAGAUAGAUUAUCUGAAAUGGCUGCUUGGACAGAUCUCCAAAUGUUAAGAGCAAAUGCUACUACAACAUCCGUCCUUAGAGAACUUGCUACCCGUUUUUUACAGGCUCUUUAAGAGAUUGGUUUGAUACUUAAGAGAGUACAAACAAUUACAGUUUGUGCAACUACCUAAUGUCUCAUUUGCUCUUUCUGUUACUCACGAGCAAUUCAUUGGAGAAUCAACCGCAGCCUUUUGAAGCUGCAAGACGCGACUACCUCAAUAUGAAGUGCUGCUCCCUCAACUCUAAAGAUCUUGAUUUCCAUUAUAAACAGAUGUCAAAUCCUAUUUUAUAAGCUCAAUGGGUUCAAUGAUCCGACUCUCAAACAUGUCUUUCUAGCAUCAUUACCCGAAGGAUUGCAACCAGACAUACAACGGCAACUCACGAGUCUCAAUCUCACCAUUGAUACCAUUUCCUUAGGAAAGAUCUUUCAGAUCGCCAAAGGAUGUUUGGAAAAACUACCUCAAUAUGAAGUGCAAACUACCUAAUGUCUCAUUUGCUCUUUCUGUUACUCACGAGCAAUUCAUUGGAGAAUCAACCGCCAGCCUUUGAAGCUGCAAGACGCGACUACCUCAAUAUGAAGUGCUGCUCCCUCAACUCUAAAGAUCUUGAUUUCCAUUACAAACAGAUGUCAAUCCUAUUUUAUAAGCUCAAUGGGUUCAAUGAUCCGACUCUCAAACAUGUCUUUCCUAGCAUCAUUACCCGAAGGAUUGCAACCAGACAUACAACGGCAACUCACGAGUCUCAAUCUCACCAUUGAUACCAUUUCCUUAGGAAAGAUCUUUCAGAUCGCCAAAGGAUGUUUUGGAAAAACUAUGUGAACAAAAACAGUUCUUCAAAGAAUUGUUAAAAGACAAAGAGCCUUUCCGAAGUGCAUGUAAAAAGCCUUAUUUGCAGAUCAAAAUGUCAGAAAAAGAAAGAUUGUGAUUGCAGCACCAAAAAGAAGAAGCAUUUAUGAAAAUUCAAAAAUCCAGCAUUGUUUCCCUAGAUCAACAUCCAGGCGAAAAUCAUACCGAUUUUUCAGGAAAAGAUCUAGCUCUUUCAGAGAACAACAAAAGAAGAAGUCAAGCCGAUGCUUCAUUUGCAAAAAGAAAGGCCAUUAUGCCAAAGAUUGCCCCAAACAAAAAAGACAAAGCAAUCAGACUUCUUGAGCAUUUAUAGGCCACUACUGAUUAUUCUCCUCACAAUGAUGAAAUUGAGUCUUACUUCUCAGAACAAGAGGAGCCUACUGAUGAAACAGUGUUUACACUACAAAACUCUUCCGAUGAUUCUGAAAAUGAUGAGUUUCAAACUAUUUCCACCAACAACUAUUGUCCCUUGACACUACCACCCCUAUCCCUUCCAUUAAACUCCACAUUUUACCCUCCAAAUUCCAGAGACUGAUUCCUACCAUUGGUCUUCUUUGAUACAGGGGGCCCAACAAAGUAUGUUAAAUCCCGACAUACUUCCAUCUCAGUCUUGGCAACAUUAUGAAGAAAAUUUCAAAGCAAUCAAAUGGAAAACUCUUCACCACCACCUUGAUUACCAGAAAACCCAUUGGUAUUCAAAUCUUUCCAAAUUGUGUUAUCUGGACGAAAGUCAUUGGUUCCCAUCUGCCUAAUAAGGAUAUCUUGUUAGGUUUUGAUAUCAUUCACCAGAUAAAACACUUCAAAUCAUUCCUACUGGAAUCUGAGUUAAGUCCAUGUUUAAACCAUUCAACCAAUGUCCUAAAGCUUUAUGGUUUGUCUGAAACCUCCCAGCCUUUCCAAGACAUUUCCACAAGGUUUUAAAGUUUUGUCCCGAACCUCAUGCGUCACCAUCCCAAUCCCCUGUGGAAAAAUCCAUAAUUCUUUUGUUCAAUUGCUUUCAUGUUGAAUGAAGAUGUCAAUCCCACCAAAGCCACUCAUCUAAGAAUGAGUCCUUCUGACUUAGUCCUAGCCCAAAAGGAAUGUUCUCAGCUGCUAGCCCAAGGUCUUAUAGAACCCACUAGUUCUCAAUGGGCUUGCCAAGCUUUUUAUGUUGAAAAACAUUUUGAGAUUGUUCAAGGAAAAAAAAUGAUUAGUCAUAGACUAUCAGCCUCUAAAUAUGUUUUUACAAGAUGACAAAUUCCCUUUGCCAAAAAGAUAGAGCAUGUUCACUUAUCUAAAAAUGCCCAAAUCUUGUCCAAAUUUUGAUCUUAAAUCUGGAUUCUGGCAACUUGGCAUUAAACCUUCCGAACGUUAUAAAACUGCCUUCUGCAUCCCCAAUGCCCAUUACCAAAAGACAAUUUUACCCUUUGGUCUUAAAACAGCCCCAUCUAUUUUCCAAAAAUCCAUGGUCCAAGUCUUCCAACCCAUUUUGCAUAGUGCAUUGAUUUACAUUGAUGAUAUUUUGUUAUUUUCAGGUGCCCUAGAUGACCAUCUCCAUUUGUUAAAUCAAUUCUUUGAUAUCAUUCAAUUUCAUGGAAUCAUGUUAUCCGCUAAGAAAAGCACAAUUGCCACCCAUACCAUUGAAUUCCUUGGAAUGACCAUCAAAGACGGCCACUACCAGCCAGGAAAGCACAUUGCCCAAGAGCUCAUUCACUUUCCAGAUCAGCAUCUUUCCAAAAGGCAAUUAUAGCAAUUCCUUAGUAUUAUCAAUUAUAUCAGGGAUUUUAUUCCUCAUGUUGAUCACCAAACCUGCCAGCUGUCAGCCCUGCUGAAAAAGAAUCCACCUUCGUGGAAUAGCAACCACACACUUGCUGUCACAACUUUAAAGCAAAUUGUGCAAAAUCCGCCCCCAUUAAAGCUCAUCACCGAUGGCAGGCGAAUUGCAGACUGAUGCAAGUGAUGAAUCAUGGGGGCCAUCCUCCUUGAAGAAACAGAUGGCAAGCAACACUUUAUUGCCCAUGCCAGUGGACACUUCUCUGACACACAAAUCCAUUACCAAGUGUGUUCAAAGAAAUUUUAGUUGUCAAGCAUGGUAUUCAAAAGUUUGAGUAUCAUCUUAUUGGCUAUCACUUUCUUGUCAGAAUGGACAACUCAGCUUUCCAAACAUCAUGAACUUCAAAGGGAAAAAAUGUCCCCGAAAAGAUGUUGCUCAGAUUAAAAGACUGGUUUUCAAAAAUGAUUUCUCCGUGAAGCAUAUAAAAGGAGACCACAACCUUUUCCUGAUGCUCUCAAGACUUGCUAAACCAGAAAAUUCCUUGUUUUUCAUAUCCUCAGCUUCCCAUUUUCCUGUUAUUUUCAUGGUCACUUUACUUCCCUACAAGCCCUUACCAAAAAAACCUUUCCCCUUGGAAAAACCUUCACCAGAGUCUUUGCCAUCAAGAGUUUGCCAAAAAAGCUGUUUUUCAGUUUUUUAUGAAAGUCUAUCUCUUAUCCGACUCAUUUCCGUUUUCCACCUUUCAUCCCGAAAACUUGUUUCUUACGGUCUAACCCUGGAUCCUUCUCGAGAAAUUUCAAAAGACGAAUUAUGGUACAUUUGGUGCCUUACUGUCCUCUAUGCCACUAAACUGAUUGUUCCCAUUGCAGCCACCUUAGAUCAUCUGCUUGAUCCCAACAGUUCAGCCUCCCUCCUCUGGACACUCCUUGAAUGGUUUUCUCCAAUUCCAUGGUGGGGACAGAAACUCCACCAAUUAUCUCAAGUUCAUAAUCUGGAACGUAUGCCAUCAUCGAAGCAAAAAUGUGGACGUAUGUGUUCAUUAUCCAUCGCCCAUACUUCCAACACCUGACACCAACUUCUUCUGGACUCAAGACCAAGUUUUUGAAUGGUUCACCACACCUCAUCCAUCCAUCCUUGAACAAGAUGAUAGAGUCCAAAAAGAACUCUAUAACUUCCUUUGUGAACUGAACCAUCAACCUGCUCCACACAGAGACAUUUCUCACACCUCCCUAGGUCCACAACAUGAUAUCAUCAUGAUUCCCACUCCUUCAGCAAUUUCAAAGCCUAAAUCUACGGGAAUUAUCAUCAAGGAAGAAAAAUUAGACUUCACUGAUUUUCUCUACCAAGAUGCACAAGACCCUUGGGAAGCAUUUUUACCCCUAAGUCAACAUCUUUAAAACCUCCAACCUACACCACCGGCACCUGCCCCGGACGAUCCAACAAAUAAAGCUAGUUCUAGCACACCAACUGGAUCCACGGAACACCUGUCUUCCUCUUGGCGCAAAAUAUUUUGCCCUUGGCCACCUUGUCGCCCAGAUCAUCAAAAUCCACCAGAAACUCCACGUCCAUCACUCAAUGUUUUCUUUUCAAAAGAUAAAGAUGCGACCGACAACUCAUCAGAUGAAGAUUACAUGAAUCUCUCAUCUCCGUGAUUCAUGCAAUUUGGUGUUAUUCACUUUUUAAAAGUUGGCUUGUGAUAAUUAAAAGCAUGAGUCAUGUUUGUCAUGCUUUAGUUUGUCUUUAUUCACUUUUUCAAAGUUGGCUUGUCAUAAUUAAAAGCAUGAGUCAUGUUUGUCAUGCUUUAGUUUGUCUUUAUUGCUUGUCGUUUGUCAAUGUGUCUUGUAAAGUGAUAGGGGCUCUGUGCUAUCCUUUUCUAUAUCUUGGAAAGUGAUAGGGGCUCAUCUUCUCCUCGUUGGAAAGGGAGCGCAACAUUAAUAAAAUCUCUAGCCUUCUAUAAUCAUGAGUUUCUAAAUUUUCUUUUCUCUCUGUUAAUGAAGCUCUGACCGAUUUAAAAAUAAGACGAAAACUUACAUCUGUUCAUUUUGAAACUAAAGGAAGUAUGCUCUGCACUUGCCUCUAGCAAGGAUCCUGUGCAUCAGAAAACUUUUGAUAAUUUCUUAUCUGGUUUGGUACCCUGUUUUAAACUAAAGGAAAGUCUGUUUUGGGUUAUAUAACCUGAAAUGAAAAUGUUUUACAGUUUUCUGUUCUCCACUUGAGUAUAUCGGCUGGAAACCCAAGCAUGCGGACUACUGGUCCAAAGGACGAUCUUUUCAUCAUUGUUUGGUAUAACAACGGGGAUUGGGAUGGUGAAAGUCAGCAUGAGACUCAGGAAAAAACUUUAAAAACCUUGUGGAAAUGUCUUGGAAAGGCUGGGAAAAAAUAGUUCUUCAAAGAAUUGUUAAAAGACAAAGAGGCUUUCCGAAAUCGUGAAAGGCCUAUAAACACUUGGGAGGAGAUGAAGGCCAUCAUGAGGAGGAGAUUUGUUAUAUAUUAUUAUAGGGAGCUGUACCAAAGGCUUCAAAGUCUUAUACAAGGUUCUAGAAGAGUGUGGAAGAUUACCACAAGGAGAUGGAAAUAAUCAUGAUUCGAGCCAACAUUGAAGAAGAACGAGAGGCCACUAUGGCAAGAUUUUUUACAUGGUUUAAAUCAAGAUAUUGCUAAUGUGGUUGACUUGCAGCACUAUGUUGAGUUGGAAGACAUGGUUCACAUGGCCAUGAAAGUGGAACGACAACUAAAAAAGAAAGGCUCCACUAGAACCAAUUUGGGUUCAUCUUCCUCAUGGAAGUCAAAAUGGAGCAAAGAUGAAAAGGUUGUUUCAAAGCCUAAGAUUGAGCCAAUCAAGGAUCAUAAAGAGGGAGGCAACCAAAGCAAAGGUAAAUCUGAUUCCCAACACUCUAGAAAUAGAGAUAUUAAGUGUUUUAAAUGUUUGGGGACAUGUCAUAUUGCAUCUCAAUGCCCAAAUAAGAGAGUAAUGAUCUUGAGGGAUGAUGGUGAUGUUGAAACCGACAGUGAAUCAGAUGAUGAUCCUAUGCCACCUUUGGAGGAUGUUAAUGAUGGUGUAGAAUAUCCUGUUGAUGGUAAAUUGAUGGUUGCUAGGCGUGCUCUCAACAUGCAAGUAAAAGAGGAUGCGGAGGUACAACGUGAUAACAUCUUUCAUACUAGAUGCCACAUCAAAGAUAAGGUAUGUAGUAUGAUAAUUGAUGGUGGAAGUUGUACUAAUGUAGCUAGCACUAGUUUAGCUGAAAAAUUAAAUUUGAAAACUUUGAAACAUCCGAGGCCAUAUAAGCUACAAUGGUUGAAUGAUUGUGGGGAAGUUAAAGUAAAUAAACAAGUGCUGGUUUCAUUCUCUAUUGGGAGAUACAAGGAUGAGGUUCUAUGUGAUGUAGUACCCAUGCAUGCUGGACACAUUCUUUGGGUCGACCUUGGCAAUAUGAUAGGCGUGUGACAUAUGAUGGUUACUUAAAUAGAUAUUCUUUUAUAAUGAAUAAAAUGCAAAUCACUCUUGUACCAUUAACACCUAGGCAAGUGUAUGAGGAUCAAAUGUUAAUANNNNNUUAAUUAAUUAANNNNNUAUUCCCCAAAAAGUGGAUCCCGCUCUAAUAGCCCCGAAUAAAUUAAAUACAUGCAUUAAGAUACGAAGGCUUCUUAUUCCACAACAACGAAAGCACUUUUUCACUCUUUCAUAUACUAGGGGAUUUCACUUGGAAAAGAAAAAUGUUCCAUACUAAUGGAUUCGGGUCCAUAACCAUGGGUUCCAAUGCACGAGAUCUUGUAGCACUUACCAAUGAGGCCCUAUCGAUUAGUAUUACACAGAAGAAAUCAAUUAUAGACACUAAUACAAUUAGAUCUGCUCUUCAUAGACAAACUUGGGAUUUGCGAUCCCAGGUAAGAUCGGUUCAAGAUCAUGGGAUCCUUUUCUAUCAGAUAGGGAGGGCUGUUGCACAAAAUGUACUUCUAAGUAAUUGCCCCAUAGAUCCUAUAUCUAUCUAUAUGAAGAAGAAAUCGUGUAACGAAGGGGAUUCUUAUUUGUACAAAUGGUACUUCGAACUUGGAACGAGCAUGAAGAAAUUAACGAUACUUCUUUAUCUUUUG